rnacentral:lncRNA from 1 species
CCCACCUCCCGAUCAAGCCAUCCAGCCGCCUCUCCUCGCCCUCCUGCCUGCGCGCAUCUCUCUAGAGCUUAAACUCUCCUAGAGAGAUCUCAGGCAGCCCCAAUAACCAACCGCUCGACCCAACUCGUCGUCGUCGUCGUCGCAGAUGGCCGGCCUCAGGAUGAAGCUCGUCGCCGCCGCCGCCGUGGCCGCCGCGCUCGUGGCGUCCGCCGCCGCCCAGGCCCCCGCGCCAGCGCCCACCUCCGACGCCUCGGCCGCGGUGCCCCUCGCGGCGGCGUCCUUCGCCGCCGCCGCCUUCGGCUACCUCUUCUGCUAGAUCCGUCGUCCGGGGAUGCCGUCGUGCUCCCUGGCCGGUCGGGCCUGCUGAUGAUGAUAUGAUUCGUUUUGGCGUGAGUCGAGUCCCCUGUUCGUGGCGCGUGUUGAGGGAUGUCGGUGGGCGUGUGUAUGUACGAGUCGGCGGCGGGUGGAGGUGUGCGCGCGUGUUGGAUACGUGCGUCGACGCGCCACUCUUUGUGGUGGAGAUCAUGUACCCGCUGCGCUUCUGUUUAUCAAUGAGAUGAUUUAUUUGAUUCUUUUCAUCUUAUAUACAAUAUACAUGAGAAUUGCGUAUUCAGUUUGUUGUGUUUUGCUCUGCAAACUUGCGAUGUGCAGAUUGUUGUAAAACACUGUCGAACGAUUCUCCCUCAAUCGAGUUCUUCCGUUGCAAAGAAAAAGAAAACGGUGCAUCUCUCUUAAAAAACGAUUACUAUUCUUACGACCUGAAAAUUAAGGGGUGCAGGCUACAGUUCAAACAUGUAAUUGGAAUCUGAAAUCGAUUUGACCGACUAAGGAACUCACCAUCUGAACUCUAAGCCCUUGUUUACUUCACCCCCAACUCCCAACUUUGGCACUAUGCAAAAAGAAGAUUCCCCAUCACAUCAAACUUGCGGUACAUGCAUGGAGUACUAAAUGUAGAUGAAAUUAAAAACUAAUUGCACAGUUGUUGUACUUUGCGAGAUGAAUCUUUUGAGCCUAAUUAGUCAAUGUUUGGACAAUAAUUCACAAAUACAAACGAAACGCUACAGUGUGCUACAGUGCUAGCACAGUAAUUUUACAUCUCCUAAUUUGACCAGCUAAACAAGGCCUAAGCAAAACGACCGGCAUAACGACUUUCAUUUAUGACCAACCAAUUCAGAAUUGACAAGCUUUAUUUUUCCUACCUCCCUCGAAAAGAAUGCUGUGGCACGGAGUCCUUGUGAAGUUCGUUAGGAGAUGCCGGGCCGGGGUUGCUUAAUCAGUUUGGUGAGGGAUCCGAACGUUGAAAUGAUUGAAGCAUGUUGGCGUCGCCACUUGCCAGCCAAGAAGCCAUGUGCUGCUCGUUAAGCACUGGUCCACAGAUGAGUUGUCUUGGUAGGGGCAGCCGUACCCGCUGUAUCACCGCUGGCAUGCUCCAAGCUGGAAAUGGUGAGCCGUCGCAAUCGCUGCAGUAUUACCCGACUAGUAUGUGCUUUAUGGAAUUGCAGGACUGCUUAAUUUUGACCGUGCUCGUGGAUUUAGAUGCUGGUCGAUGGCUCCAGCUCGAUGCCUUUUCCUACUGUACUGGCUACUGCCGACCGAGAGUCUCAGAGCGUGCAGAAUGCAGGUCGAGUUCCGCAAAGUUGUUGGCGUACACAGCUGGGGAUUGGGCCAGUGCCAGCUCUACACACCACUGGGCCACCUUUGUGUUUUCUCCGGCCUGCUUGAAAAUGUAUUGGGCCAGUUUGUUGGGCCGCUUACUUACAUCUGUGCUCAGCUAAAUCCAGCGAGAACAAUGGAAGAGUUUUUGGCUCUAUACAACAAAUCUUUUGGUUUUUUCCCCCCCUUUCUUUUUCAUCCACAUAAGACACCCACGAUGGCGUUUAUAUUUGUAAGAUAACUGAGUUGCAUUUUUAAGUGCCUCAUUUCUGGAUUAUCGGGCAGCUUCUGAAAGGAAGCUCCAAUUAUAGUAGACGAAGUAGAAGGUUUUUUUUUCGAUUCAAGACCUGGAACGUAGGUAGCUAGAGUCUACGCACUGCAGUUACAUACUGACAAAUUGCAAUGGCGAGUCGGCGACCGACAAGCAGAGGCCAGGCACAGCUGCGUCACAUGAACUCGCUCAUCAUGGCGAGCACCUGCGCCAUCGUGGGCCUCUCCUCCGGCGCCUCGGCGGUGCACAGCACGCCGAUCUUCACCAUCCCCAUCGUCUCCUCCCCUUCGCCGCCUUCCUCGCCGUCGGCGGCCUUGUGGUCCGUCACCACCUCCAGGAGCACCAUCCCGAAGCUGUACACGUCGGACUCCUGCGUCGCCCUCGCGCCCGCGCCCGACGCCAGCUCCGGCGCCGCGUACCCGUGCCACCCGACGCUCGCCGCUGGCGGGGCCGCCGACGACGUCGCGGUCGCCGCCCGGCCCAGGAACAGGUCCGGCGGGCACCGGGCGGCCUGCGGGACGACGGACUGCUGGAUGUUUGUGGCGUAGCGCAUGAGCCCGCACUCGGACACGCACGCGCCGCCGCGCUCGUCCAGGAGGAUGUUGGACGGCUUCACGUUCGCGUGCACAAGCGCCGGCCGCGCCGGGAACGUGUGGAUGUAGUUCAGGCCCUGCGCCGCGCCGAACAGUAUGCUCUUCCUCCCCGCCCAGUCCAGGCUCCUCGCGCCACCACCUGCAGCAACAACAACGGCCCGUCAGGAACACUCGCUUUCUUGCACCGACUGCAAAUUGGCAAUGCAUUUGGGAUUUCAUUAUCUCAUUUCAGCGCGACGACGCACCACUGGCUUGCAGAAGGGACUGGAGGCUCCCGUUGGGGAGGAAGUCGUAGACGAGGAGGCGCUCGCCGUUGGAGUUGCAGUACCCCCUGAGGCUGACGACGUGCCGGUGGCGGAGCCGGCCGACGAGCCGCAUGUGGCGGUCGAACGCCUUGCUCCGGCUGGCGGGGAACUGCAGCGCGCUCAGGCGCUUGACGGCCACCACGAUGCCGUCGUCGAGCACCGCCUUGUAGGUGCUCCCGGACACGCCCUUGCCGAGCACCUCGGCGGACGCCUUGAGGAGGCUCUCCAGCCGCAGCUCCUCGCCGCCCUCGAAGCAGACCAACCCGCCGCUCUUCUGGCACUUGUCGUCCCCGUUCGCCCUCUUCUCUUGCUCCUCGAAGGAGAGUGCCGCGUCGGAGGCGUCCUUCGCCGACCGGAGCUUCCUCCUCAUGUAGACGAACAUGGCCACGGAGAUGGCUAGCGAGACCGUGAUGAGCACUGCGUUGCCAAUGCCGGUGGCCAUGAGUGCAGUCAAGCUAAGCUUACUGAAACCUCCAUUGCUGGAACUGGAAGGCACACUACCACUAACGUUCACUGCAGCACCAGGAGAUUGAGCAGCGAUACUGGUGGUAGCAUUGGAAGAACUAUCCGAUCCUAACGCAUUAUAAGCACGAACACAUCUUGGCAGAGGCGUGCCACAGAGAGCGAGAUUGCCGCCGAAAGUCGACCUCGGGAACCUGGACAGAUCGCCGGAGAUCUCCCCAGCGAGCUUGUUCCCGGACACGUUCAAGCUCCUGAGCGACGGGGCGCGCAGCGCCUCCAGGCCUCCACGGAAGCCAUUGUGCUCCGCUCUAAGCGUGAGCAGAGCACCCAGCGAGAUGUUCAGGCUCCCGGUGAGCCGGUUGCGGGCGACGAGCAGGUGCCGCAGCCACGGGCUCGCCGUGGCGUCGUCCAGCGGGGGGAGGGCGCCGGACAGGGAGUUGUUCCUGACGGCGAGCGCCCUGAUAUGGCUGAGCCGCAGGAGCGGCGCCACCUCGCCGGCCAGCGAGGCGCCGUCGAGGAAGACCCCCACCACCCUGCCCCUGGAGCACCUGAUCCCGAACCACGUGCCGGAGCACGGGUUGGGGCCGUGCCAGGUCGCCAGGGCCGUGGCGUUCGGGUUGUAGGACUUGAAGGAGAGCAGCGCGGGCAGGUCCUGGUGGCCGCCAUUGCCGACCUCUCCGUGCACAGAAGGUACCGAUAGGUGGUAGACGAGGACGGCGAGGAGCAGGAAGGUGGAAUGGUGGAAACGAGGCAUUUUGGUAGCUGUAAGAAUUUUCUUCUGUGUUUGACCGAGAAAUCUAUCCACUCGUUUUAUAGCACGGGCCGGUAACAAUUCAGCGCGGGGAAGUAGAAAAUUUUGAAUGGCGCACGAGCACAAAGGCGUGGAACGACGACGAGCAGAGGGGUCCAAAGAGGAAAGCUGGGUACCUGCGCCGACGUCGUGGGUGGGUGUCGAUGCUGAGGUCGUGGGGAGGAGGGUGGAGGUGAAAAGCGGCGCCAUGGAGGACAGGAGGAGAGGUCCAAGGGGAUGGGGAGCUGACGAGGUGCCCUUUUUCCUCCCUUGGGCAGAAGGAACUUGGACGUAUCUGGUGGGCUGCACGUAGCCGUGAUGGUCGUCGCGCCGGGGAGAUGCUGGUGCUCGCUUCGCUUUACGGAAGCGGCCGAAAGGAAGCAAGAGGGCUCGGGGUUCCACGGCGCGUGGUGGAGUAUCGGGUUCACGAGACGAGACGGGAGUAGCGAGUGGGGACGUUGGCGUCAGGUGGCGCCACGCACCGGUAGGGGAGCAGACAGGAAUGGAUUCCAGCUUCACGUUGCACUAGUCCCCCAGAGUCACAGUGAACCCGGAACACUGAACUGGGUUCAGGUGUCGGGGCAUCUAUUGUUGGGUCCGUUCGUGCUGUGGGCCGAGCCAGGUCUUGCCACCCGAUCCAGCCCAGUAACCGGAGUAGCCAAGAUUUUGUUGGGGCGUCGGGUUCAAACUUCAAAUUGGCAGGUGGAGACGCUUCCAAACGGGUUCAUAGUGAGUCAUUGCUACUGGUACUACGGAGGACUAGGAAGGUUAAUUAUCAUUAUGAACAGUGUUAGUUAGCACCGUCGUCUGAAUGAAAGGUCAUGACAUGCUCGUGAAACCUCGAUUCUAAUGUAUGCGCGCAGUUUUUGGUAUAUCAACUCAGAACUCGACUGGUGGUGUGGUGAGCACAAAAAUGCAUCUUGUUUUUUUUUCCCACUAAGGGCUACGUCCAAAUUUCAUUACUGUUUAGGCAAUGAAAUUACAGAGUAUGAGAGUUGUCGACACCAUGGUCACACCAGAGAUUACAAAAGCAUCUCCAGGAGGACAGGUGCAGACGGCCUUUCCACCUGGGAGGAAUAAAGCGAGCCUACUUAUUACAUGACACAGAACUAACAGCAUGCUAAACAUCUCACAGCCAACCAAACUAGGAACAUUUCUCAACCAGCCUCCAAAGUUGCUUUGAGCAUCACACUGUAUCCAGACUUCCUGGCUUGAUUUGGGACAGCACUUCUUCUCUUUUUUACUGCAGCAGUACCAUCCCUGUGUCGUCGGUUGUUGCUUCACGGGGGUGAAAGUGCAACGCCGUCGCCUUCAUUGCAUCAGCGCCAGCCUCCAGGAUCGUCCUCCCCUCCGGCUUAUGAAGACCUGCUCAAUAUGAAAUGAAAACAGAUGCUGAACAUAUAAUCUCUGAAGGAGAUUUGACCUAUUUUUUAUCAAAGCAAGCAGCAUUUCUAGCUUUCCAGAGUGCCCAGCAGACCGCUGACAGCCCCACCACAUGGAUGUUUUUGUUUUGUGACAUAUACUAUCUAGUCCAUUCCCAAAAUUGGGCAAAGGUAGUUGGUCUACAUGGAGCACCAAUUACCAUGGCAAUAAGGCUCCAUACAUACCUAGCCAAGGCAUAUCCAAAGAAAAGGUGUUUCGAUGUUUUCUUCCAUAUGACAGAAACAACAGCUUUUGUCCCCCUGCCAGUUGCGUUUUAUAAGGUUGUCUUUAGUCAGAAUAGCAUCUUUUUGGAUUAACCACAUAAAGAUUUUUAUCUUCAAAGGGAUUUUGGCUUUCCAAAUAUUGUCAUGAGGACUGGGUAUAGACUACCGCCUCAUCAUCGACACAUCGAACAACGAUGGCAAGGAUGCCAAGUACGAGGCGGUGGUUCAUGAGAAAAACUGGGGAGACCAAAUCACUCUCUUGUCCUUUAAGCGAGCAGACUCUCAGCAACAAUUGGCAUGAGCAUGUUAAUCACUCUCUUGUCCUUUAAGGAUGCCAAUGAUUUGUAGUAGGGUUGCCACCUUGAUUAAUGCUUAUCACUACUUGCUCUACAACUAUUGCAUUUUGUGUUUACUCCAUUUAGCGUCCUUUCGUUACGCCUUGCUUAAUGCUUAUCACUACUUGCUCUACAACUGCUGCAUUUUGUGUUUACUCCAUUUAGCGUCCUUUUGUUAAUCGUUGAAAUGGCGUGGUAGCUGCUGCGUAAUGCGUAUCAUGUAAUUUGGCAUCUCCAAUAUAAAUGGGAUUUUCAGCCUAAAUAAAAUGUGAUUGGGAAAUUUGGCUUCCCACUUUUGUACAUGAUGCAAACGGUCAUAUACAUGCACACACAAUUACAAAUACACGCACGCUAGUUCGAUCUUCAAGUUUAAUAUAGUUUCAGCUGUUCAAACAUUGGAUUGAACAUGACCGAUCCAUUUGAAAGUAGAUUGCUUUCAAACACAAAACGUGGAUUGCGUUAAAUAUUUUUAUUAGACAUAUUAGGAAUGUAAAAGUCAAAUUUAUAAUAAUUUAACCAAACAUUAGUCAAAUUCUAUAAAUCCUCAGUAUAAAAGUUAUAUGGAUGAAUUCAAAUAUGAAAUAUCUUACUUCUAUACAUCUAAUAGUAUAUUGUAAUAGAAACUAUAUCAGUCAAUAUAUAUCUAUAAAUAUUUUCAAAUCAUCAUGUGCCUACUAAAAACAAACAAAGUUAAUGUUAUGGUUGUGAUUUUAUUGCUACAAAUAUUACUAGUAUUAUAAGAGCAUCUGCAGCAGUCUCCCAAUAAAUAUUUCCCAAUAACUAGUUAAUAGGGAUAUUCCAAUAUCACUUUCAUCGUUAUUGGGAGAGUUGCUUUUGCAGUCUCCCAAUAAUUUCAUCCCAAUCCAACUACCGUAUUGAGAGAGUUACAACUCCUUUAUUUAGGGAGAGUUGGGAUGAAUUAUUGGGUUGUCCCAAUAAUUAUUGGGAAAAGGGAAAGUUAAAGGAAGACUGUUGGAACACUAUUUUCUUAUCAACUCUCUCAAUAUGAUAGUUGGAUUGAGGAAAGGGAGAUUGCUAAAGAUGCUCUAAUAAGCUAUGUAUUCAAAACAAAGUGGUCAUGCGGGUAUUAGAGUUGUGAUCCGAAAUAACGGCAGGAAAAUUCUGUUAUCUGCAUGGCGAGUCAUUUUUUAUGCAGUGAGCGUACAGGAAGUGGAGGCAUUGGCAUGCAAAGAAGGGUGGCCCUUGAAGGGAGCCCGCGAUCUUAGAGUUAGACUGCAGUGCGGUCAUUCACUAAAUCAAGGAAGCGAGUAAGAUGAUACUAGCUAGCAUAAUUUUUCACGGUCUAGAAGGCUAAGCGCCUAGCGGAAAGUCUCCCAUGUCUCGUUUUGAGUCAUGUAAAGAGAUAGCAGAACGUAGUCGCACAUGAGCUUGCGAAGCAAAUCGCAAUGUAGUGUGGUGUGAUCAUCCCCCACUUAUAUGAGCAUUUGAUUGCUCAUGCCUGUAAAUUUUUUUUUGAGCAAUCAAUAAAGCGCUCUCUCUUUUUUAAAAAAAAAUUUGCAAAGAAAGAGACUACGAAUCAAAGUUGGAGAAUGUGACGAGUCAAAGCAUAUUGUGAAAUGGAGGCAGCAAAAUCCUAACGCUUCCUGUCGCAUCGACGUUCGAGCUCUGUGUACUUAAUUGAUUGCCACGUAGAAGCCGAAGAGUGCAGCGUCGAUUCAACUGGCGCGCGUCUAGACCCUAUAAAAGGACGGGGUUUCCAAGGCAGCACUGCACCGAUGCUUGCUCUGCACCAGCAAAGGCAGUCAAACUAACAGUACGCCGGGCACCGGAAGAUCGAUCGACCAGGCAUGUCGCCGCCGCCGGAGCAGGACAGGAGGCUUGGCGUCGUCAAGCCGGAGCCCGAUCCCAUGAUCAAGCUCAAGGUGCUGGACAACGAGGGUCGCAGGGUCUUCCACUCCAUGAGGAUGUCCGACAAGCUCCAGGCGGUCAUGGAUGCGUACUACGCGAAGGCGCCCGACGUGACCUACGGCUCCGGGACCUUCAUGUUCGAUGGAUCCAUCCGGCUGCGGGGCAGCGAGACGCCGGCGGAGCACGGUCUGCAAGAUGACGACGUGAUCGACUCCUACGAGGACCUGGUGGGCGGCGGACGGGACGACGCCUGAUGCACCGGACCGGCGGCUGAUCGAUCGAUGGCCGCGCGAGUACGUCGUAGCAGUCGUUUAAUGGAUGUCGUUAUAUUAUCAUUCGCCAGUCAUCACUAGUCUCCAAUUAUUACAAAGACGUAUCAUCUACUAGGAUUCAUCUUUCUACUAUACAUGCAAGGUGGAUCCAAUAUGUUCUCUUGAAACUUUGUUAUUGAUGCAUCUUCACAGUUUACCUGCUGAAUUCAACUGUCAAAACUUUUCUAAGGCCCCGUUUGGAUCAUUGGAAUUGAAUUCCAUCCUAAUAAUCAUAAUUUAGACACAAAUUAAUUAAACUAAUAUAAUUGUAUGUGGAAUAUAGUUGUAUAUUAUAGUUGGUGAUAUGGGAGAGAUACUUGUAUGCUGCACUUCUACUAUAGAGAAGCGAGUCUAAGAGCGUGCUAUAAGAAUUGAAUUCCAUUCUAAUAACCAUAAUCUAUAGAAUCAAUUUCCAUCUCCCACCCCAUGAAUUUAAAAUAGGCUUAUAUCUAAACUUUGGAAAGUUGUGGAAUGCCACAUUCCAACAUAAAUUAGCCUACUCCAUUAAAUAGAUUCCAAUUCCUUGGACCCAAACGGGGCCUAAGCGAAAUGAAGCGUUCGUGGUAUAGCACUUGGAUCAUCCACGGCCCGAUGAUCGAUUGCCCAGGCGGCUGAGAUCUCUUUAGUCGUCUAGAGCUCACGGGGGAAUUCCGAAGAUGCGUUCGGGGCAUUCGAUAGCUUAGCCGCGUCCUGGUACGUCAUGAUUCAUGAACAGUUUGAUCUGGUAAAUUAUGAUUUCAUUGAAGACAUUGCCGUUCCAUUUUCUAUUGAUGAAUUUUUUUAUUAAUCUUCUCGUAAAAAGUUUUUGACGAGGCACUUUAUGCGAUCCAUUGCUUACGAUAUACAUCAAGUUCAACAAAGUGGUUUGGCCUUUUUUUUAGAUAUGCAAAAUAUAAAUCUAUUGAUGCAACUUUGAGACAUGAAAACAUAUAAUUUGACUACUCUUGGAGUAAAACCUACAAAUUAAAGUAUUGACUAUUUGAUACACCCUACGUAAAGAAACAGAGUAAGCAAUGCACGUCAAGCAGACAAAUGAUACGAUCAAGUUCAACAAAUUAAAGUGGUUAGUGGUGAGAAGCAGAUUUUGGUAGGCAUAUACUUCCGUCUCAUCAUCGAUGCGUCGAACAACAAUGGCACGGAUGGCAAGUAUGAGGCGGUGGUGCACGAGAUGGAUUGGGGAGAAAAACUCUCCCUUGAGUCCUUUUAAGUCGGCUAAUUGAUCUACAAUUAGAAUGACCGUCUUAAUGCAAUUAUCCUAAAUAAUGAUGUCAAGGUGUAUUUUCAUGCCUUUGGAUUUUUUUAUGGUUAUAUACAAUUGUCUCAGGAAGCUUGUGCCUCAAGCAUGUCUCUCUCCUAGGAGUAGAUCACUGCCUCACUGGAGACCACAAGAUCAUAGAGCUUCCGACUAAAGUGAGCAGUUUCUUCGAGCUUCUGAGUUCACCAGAAAGAGCGAGGUUGCUACUAAAGGGAGCAGUUUCUUCGAGCUUCUGACUAAAUCGAUCCAAAAUUAUGUCAAACAAUUUCCACUAAAUUACAAGAUAACUAUAUAUUGCAGGAGCUGAUGUGAUAUGAAUCCACUAAAUCACUUCCAAGUUGUAUUUGAACAAACUGUCCAUCGGUUUCCAUCCAUUUCGCCGGAAUACAAGCUCUUAUUAGUAAGGGCUGCAUGCAAGGACUGUCUUAAUUUUUUGCUGUAAGGUAAAACUAGUUGUCAAUUAAUUUCAGGCCAAUCAUUUUCUACUAAAAAUUGCAAGAUACUACUUAAUUUGACACAUCCAAUUAAUAUUUUCCAAAUUGUAUCGAACACCCUGUCCAUCAGCCAUUUGUUGGCAACGUCACGAGGCUAAGUGCUAUUAAAUGCCUCAGUCGUGUCUCCAAUCUUCAGCAAAAACUAUGAACCUGCCAAUCUUGUUAGUACUUCAAUAGACUUCCUCGAUUCUAAAUUAUAGUUCACUUUAGCGUUGUUCUAAACCAAACUAUUCUCUCUGACUAAAUGUAUAGAAAAAUAGAACAAUAUCUACUAUCAGCAUAUUUCUUAGCAGAUUCAAUGAAACUAUAAUUUGACGUUAUAGAUCUUAAUGCCUUUUUUAUGAACUUGAUCAAAGUUAAAGAGAUUUGACUCAGAACAAUACUCGUAUAUACUACUUACAUUUUAAAAGAAGUAUAAAAUAAAGUAGUUAUUGUAAUGAAUGUAAAAUAAGCUUAGAAGAAACCUCAAUGACCAAAUUGGGACUGCAGAAAGUACUUUCUCCACCCUAUUACUGGCUCCGCACGCACAAGAGAAACAAAAGCACGAGCUUGUGGCCAUUAUUCAAACAAUAAAAUUAGCACUAGUCACUUGGAGAGAAACCGGCAAAACAUCCAGAAAUAUACCACACAUAGGGGUGGUAAUGGAUCAUGCCUCCUUCACAAUCCAACUCAACCCUAUUUAUUUUUAGUUCAAAAUCAUAUAUUAUUAUAGCCCGAUACAUAUUGAGCAUGAUCCUUAAAUUUGCUAAGUUAAAUUAGAGGGCCCUUUACCACACCUAACCACGCCACAAGAACAAAAUUCAACAAGCUGUUGGUAACUCGGUACUCUACCGGUUGGAUACAAAACAAUAUUAAAAACUGCUGCUACUAAUAUUCUCUUAAUGAAAUACAUGCACGUUUAUAAAAAAAAUGACUCACAUGACCCUCCUAAACCUAGAGAACAGACUCGAUUGAAACUAAUCGGGAACCUAAUAAUAGUGAGCACAGUCACUGGCAUGUAAAUAAACUAAGUAGAGCUGUAUAUCUAGAUAUUGAGGUAGUUCUUGAUGGACUCCUCGAACUCCUUGACGACGGCUUUCCAUCCGGCAUGGGUCGGGUUGAUGUCGUCCCAGUAGAAGAACUUGUCCGGCUUGGACCCCAGGCUGUACUGCGGCUCACCGUCCUGCACCUGCCCGCAGAACCCGCUCCGGUCGAAGCUCUCGCAGCACGACUCCAGCCUGUACUUGAACUGCUUCGAUCGCGGCGACGGGCCCGCGUAGUGGCUGAAUGCGGCUUUCAGGUCGAGGUUGAAGACGGCCUCGUCCUGGAACACCUUCUCCUCGAGGUACGAGUUGUGGAUGCUCGCCACCUUCUGGCUGUCGCACUUGGCAUCGUAGACGCCGUCCUCGGACCUCGACAGCCACGGCGUGCACCCGAGCGGGGGCAGCGAGGUCACCACCACCUUCUCGACGCCCAGGUCCAUCAGCUGGUCCACGGCGUCGGCGAUCUUGUCCGUCACCUCCUGGGCCUUGGCCUUCACCUCCGUGCUGGUCAUGUCGUUGAAGCGCUCGUAGUCGCGCCUGCCGGAGAAGGCGAUGAGCGCGACGGAGUCCGUGAGGUCCUCGUCGAUGAUGCCGAGCCUGACCAGCCUCUUGAACUUGUCCACCUGCCUGCCGAGCCUGGGCGCGUCGCUCGUCCCCUCCACCACGCCGGCGCCGCCGACGGCGAAGUUCAUGCCGGACGGAUCGACGCCGUCCUGCUUCCUCUUACUCUCCGCCGGAGGGGACUCCUUCCGCCCCAGAAUCCUCGCUGCACAAAUUAUGUAUUGAUGAGACAGGGCCAGGAUUUAGAAUAUUAAGUACUGAUCCGAGCUUAUUAUUACGUACCGAAGAAAUCAGAGAGGACCAAGCCGUUGGAGAAGCGGCCGCUUGGAGUGGCGCCGUGCUCCUUGUCGUUGCUGCCGUACGGGUAGUACCAUGCGCGCGUCGUCUUGGUCAGGUCUGCUAGCGGGAAGUUGCCGGCGUCGGCGAACUCGUCGCCGAACACGAACAGCUUAUACCGCCGGCCCGAGUCGCUGUCGCGAUGGCGUCGGGACUCCACAUGAGCAGCUGCUAACAACAACGUUAAUUAAAGCUCCGAUCCGAGAGCAGAACAAUGCACGACAGCAAGUAAACCACCUGGAGAAAUUAGCAAGAACAAGCAGAACAACACAUACCGUUCAGCAGGAGUAGGAGGCCGCAGACGGCGGCGAAAAGAAGCUUCAUGCUGGCUGGUUCCUUGGAUUUCGAUCGAAGGCGAGUUGCGCGGGGCGCGGGUGUUGAGGUGAGUCAAUUGCUGAGUCGUGGUGCCAGGACGACGGCGAGCGUCGCAAUUUAUACACGGGAGAUCGAGUUCCGAGUCCUACUGGGGGUGGGGGAGGCGCGCUUGUUUGCCCAGUCCGCCGCCGACUGUAACUCGUUUCCAAGCCUAGCUGGUACACUGACGAACAACAAGUCAGAAAGCCGACGAUUCCUGCUCGGAGUUGGCGGGUUGGCGGGCCUUUUCUCUCUAGGAUCUCACCAGGCCUCAAAAUACCCGGGCCAGUACAGCAGAAGAGGCCCAUCGCUACCACCCCAAUACAUGCAUACGACCAGCGUUCACUAAUGGGCCCCAUCCCUGUCUGCACGGACGACGAUAGAAGUUGGCCCGAAAUCAACACGGCUGGGCCUGGGCUGUGCAUCACAGAACCCUUUUUUUCUUUGGCGACGAACAAAACCCCUCGCCACUACUACUUAGCCACGCAUGAUGAUGAUGAAUUUACGUUUGAUGAUUGCUUGUUGAUCAAUCAGUCGAUCGAUCGAUCUGCGGAGUACUCUGACGGAAGGAAAGCUAACCCUCUCCGCCGGCGCCGGCGCCACCGCAAUGUGGUUCACCUCCCGUCGCAAACCCAACGCCGCCGAACCUUCCGAGGAUGCACCGUCGUCCUCCUCGCCACGCAGCUCGCAACCCCGCGGCUACUCCCUCCGCAUCUCAUCCUCCAACCCCUGCCCCCAAACCCAGAGCUCCCGCGACGGAGCCCUAGCCUCCGCCACCUCCUCCUCCGCCGCCGCCUGCGACCUCGGCGGCGGAUGGGGGAACUCCGUAGGCCGCGGCGGCGGCGGCUUCCUGUGGUGGAUCUUCUCCGCCGGAGCGGCGCGCGCGGACGAGGGGAAGCCGGCGGGGGCCGACUGGGACGCGCACGGGCUCCCGGUCACGCGCACACCGGUGCCGCUCUCCAGGCUCGACGGGAGGAAGCGGUACAAGGUCUCCGAGCUCAACUUCCUUGACUGCCGCGCCCGGGACCGCGCCAGCGCCCGGGACCGCGCCAGCGCCGCGGAGAAGAACCCCUUGUUCGACGACAUGGCCAAGCUGCGCCCCGGCGGCGUGUACACCCGGUCGCAGCUGCUCGGGCAGCUCCAGGCGAUGACCUCCUCCGGCAUGUUCGAGCAGGUCAGCCUCCAAGGGAAGCCCAAGCCGGACGGCACGCUCGCGCUCACCGUCACCUACGCCGAGAACAUCUGGCCUGGAGCCACCAAACGGCUCAAGUGCGUCAACGUUGGACUCAUGGCGCCGCCCGACGCUGGCCCUGCUGAGGACAUGACGGCGAGGGAGAAGAUGGAUUACAUCCGGAGGCAGGACCAUGACUACCGGCAGCGAAUCCGCAGCGCCAAGCGGUGCAUUCUACCGGAGUCUGUGCGCGAGGAGGUGCUGGGGAUGGUGAAGAAGCAGGGGAAGUUGACCGCCGGGGUGCUGCAAAGGAUGAGGGACCGCGUCGAGAAGUGGUACCACGACGAGGGCUUUGUGUUCGCCCUGGUGCAGAACUUCGGGAACCUCGACACCGACGAGGUUGUGUUGGAGGUGGUAGAGGGGGACAUCACCAUGGUGGAGUACCAGUUUCAGGACAAGCUUGACAAUAUCGUCGAGGGGAACACUCACAUCGCUGUCGUUGACCGGGAGCUGCCCCAGCAGGUAUGUAUAUAUAUAUAGGCAAUUUUCCUUACUACAUCAACAUCAGUUCCAUGGUUAAUUAACAUGUUCUGUUCGAGAUGUCUAUGGAUGAAUUGUUGUUUAAUGUGCCACGAGUUGAUUGGUUCGAUGUAUUCUAUUACGAUUCUCAAACACAUUUACUCUGACCUGAUAUGCUUUCUUGCAACCAUGUAAUUUACCUUCUGCCUUUCUUACACUGUGCAGCUUCGACCUGGCCAUAUCUAUAACAUUGGGGCAGGGAAACAAGCUCUGAAGCAUAUCAAUUCACUCGCUUUAUUCUCCAAUAUAGAAGUGAACCCUCGCCCUGACGAGACAAAAGAAGGGGGUGUAGUGGUUGAAAUAAAACUCAAGGAACAUGAACCAAAGUCGGCCGAAGUAACUACAGAGUGGAGCAUUGUACCUGUGCAUCAAGGGAGACCAACUCUUGUAAGGCACCACUUAUUUGUAACCUUUUUUCCUUCUUCUCUGCAGAAUCUGUACCUUGAAUGAUAGAAAACAUCAUAAAUAUAUAACCGCCAAUCAUUAUAAAUCCAUGUUUCACAACCCAUCUCACGGAAACUUUCUUUUUAGGCAUCAAUUCAACCUGGAGGAACUGUGUCAUUUGAGCACCGCAACAUCUCUGGUUUAAACAGAUCUCUUGUCGGUUCUGUUACUUCCAGCAACCUGCUCAAUCCUCAGGUGAGUUGGUACUGAGUUCUUUUAUUGAAAACAGAAGCUUUGAUGCAAUGUUGCUUUGGUUUACAAUUACAUCUACAUUCGCUCUGAUCUGCUUGUACUAAAUUAGCUGAAUUGUCACUUAUAACCGUCUCAGUCUUCCUUUGUAACUAUAUGUUUCGAGUCAUAUUUCAAUUAUCAUUAUUACAUGAAGUGUGGAACUCAGUUGAGUGUCUUCUGCAUUGAAAUGUGAAACAUUGCAGACUUUAAUUGCCAUUCUGCUGCAAUCUGAAAUAAGUAAAUAAAAUUAUACCCUUGUUUCAUGAUUUAAAAACAUUUAGUUUAUAAAAUGUACUGGUAUGGUUUACAAGGCAUAUGUUUCAUUUUUAACUGAUCCGUUAUAUUUGUAUUUACGGCAUGUUUCUUUUGGGAUAUCAGGAUCAUCUCUCAUUCAAGCUUGAGUAUGCCCAUCCUUAUUUGGAUGGUGUGGACGACCGUAGUAGAAACCGCACCUUCAAAGCUAGCUGCUUCAACGUCAGGAAAUUAAGUCCUGUCUUUGUUGCUGGCCCCAACAUGGAUGACGCUCCACCUAUCUGGGUUGAUAGAGUUGGAAUUAAAGCCACUAUAACAGAGGUUUGCACAGAUUGAUAUUACCUUCUUCAUCUUUUGAUUUUCAUAAAUAUCUACUCCCAAGAUAUAUUUUUAACAUGAGGAAACUGCAUUUGGAAAUUUUUUCAGAGCUUUACAAGGCAGAGCAAAUUCACUUAUGGCCUCGUGUUGGAAGAGAUUAAAACACGCGAUGAAGAUAACAACAUAUGCACACAUGGUUCUCGAGUAUUGCCUAUUGGUGCAUUGAACAUGGAUGGACCUCCCACAACCUUCAGUGGUACCGGUGUAGAUCGAAUGGCAUUUCUACAAGCUAAUAUAACUCGAGACAAUACUGAGUUUGUAAACGGGGCAACUAUUGGUGACAGAUGUAUAUUCCAGGUGGGGUGUUUUGUUCUCAGUGAAUUUUCAAUUGUUGCUGGGUGUUUAAAACCAAAUUGACUGCACUGUGCCAAAAGGAGAAAGCCAGCUCCUUACACAACUGAUGUUUCUGUUUUCGUAUGAGGCUGCUGCACAAUGCAUAAUGCUGACUGUUUAGGCACAUUUUAGCAAAUGUUAUCAUUACAAUUUUUUUAGAAUCAAGGUAUUCUUGUUUAUGUUAUAAUUGCUUUUCAGUUAUAUUUUAAAUAUCUGGGUUAGUUCUUGUUUAACAGCAUCAUGUGUUUAUAGAAAGUUCUCCAUGGUAAAGUAAAUCCACUUAUAAUUUUCUUGUGGGCCGCAGUUGGACCAAGGUCUUGGCAUUGGAAGCAAAAAUCCAUUCUUCAACCGUCAUCAGCUUUCAGCGACAAAGUUCAUUAAUUUGAAUAAGCAAGAUAAAGGUGCUGGCAAGCCACCACCAGCAAUUUUGGCGAUUCAUGGUCGCUACGCAGGCUGUGUAGGAGAUCUGCCGAGCUAUGAUGCAUUUGCAAUCGGAGGACCUCACUCUGUUAGGGGCUAUGGCAUGGGAGAACUGGGUGCUUCCAGGAAUCUUCUUGAGGUGAGCAUCAAACUAUCGAUCCUCAGGGGGAUUUGGCACUUACUCUGAAUCAUGAUGCAUAGUUGUUAUCGCUGUUCAUGUCGUAGUCGUGGAGGUUUUGCUUUUCUUCGGAUUUGUUUUGAAUCUUAUAUCCAUGCAGUUUGCCACUGAGUUGCGUGUCCCCAUCACUGUGAAGAACAAACAAACGCAGGUGUAUGUAUUUGCUGAGCAUGGCACUGACCUCGGGAGUUCCAAGGACGUGAAGGGCAACCCUACAGAGUUCUUCCGACGCGCAGGCUCUGGGUCCUCCUAUGGCAUUGGUGUCAAGCUCGGCACGGUAAGGGCGGAGUACGCUGUAGAUCACAAUGCUGGUACGGGAGCCUUCUUCCUGAGAUUUGGCGAAAGAUUCUGAAGGCCGCGUCUCUGUCCAGCUUGACGAUCAGAAAGCCCUAUGUAAAUUCGACUGCCAACUUUCUAGAAUAAAAUUAACUCGUGAAGAUAUAACGUCACUGAAUCUUGUAGCAGCAAGGCCCGCGUUAUGAAUGGUUGAGAGUAAAGUCAGAUUCAACUGGAAUAAGAGUUUCGUUUUGAUGGAAGGAUGUCAUUGUACUCUCUUCCUCCGUGGAACUGUACUAGAUGGUAGUCUCGGAGUAUUAUCUUGAACUUGGUAACUAAACCUAUUGAGUGUUAGGAGGAUAAAACUCUUCUCUCAAACUAGAACUUGUGCAUUCACGAUGCAUCCGACAGCUUGCAUCUGUCAGGUGCACGAGAGCACCAGAUGUACUCGGAGCACCCGAUCUUCUCUUACAUCAUUUUUUAAUCUAAAUUGCACAAAUUUGAUAAAUUUGGGCUUUGGGUGAUUUCGAAAUUGCUAUCGCAUUUUCUAGAAUUUAAAAAGUUAUGAUUUAAUCAAAAAUUCAUAACUAACUUAUUUCAAAUCUAAAAAAUAUGAAGUUGGUACAAAAUUUUUCUAAAAAUGUAGGCUAUUUGUUCAUACUCUAUUUGAAAUUGUUUACAUCAUAUUUGUUACUAAACCUAGUGUUAUAUUGUUUUUAAUAAAACACAAGGAACAUGAACAAUCUAGUUUUAAAUAAUGCUAAAUAGUACACCAACAGAUAGUUUACAUUUUUAGAAAAAUUUUGGCACCAAUUUAAUAUUUUUCUGAUUUGAAAUGAAUUAGUUAUGAACUUUUUAAUUAGAUCUAAACUUUUUAAAUUUCUAAAAAAUUGCAAACCACUCCUAAAACUAUCCAAAUGGCUAAAUUUAUCCGGUUUUGACAUAUGAAUGGCCCUCCGUGUCCAGUUUUGUAGUUGUCAGUAUAGACAUGUGUCACAUCACUUUAUUAAUGAAGUAAAAAUUCCUACAAAACCUUCGCUGCAAAUGGCCUUACCGCCUCCCGAUUAUCACCGUUUGUUGUUACCUUUUUCUUUUCCAUUGCUAUGUUUGUCCUCCUCGCCUUUGUGCUCCCCACGUUAGGUGAAUUUUCAAACCUUUAAGGCUAAGAUUGGGAGCCCUUUGUUUUCUCAUUUUUUUAAAACAAAAGAAGAAGAAAAUGAAAAGCGGCUUUACCUGCACAACUGCAGUUUUGGCUAGAAUUUACUCCUAUGUCGAGUAAUUGCUCAUGUAGUGUCGCGGCAUCUUCCAUCGCUUCGACUCCUAUGCAUUAACGCAUGGGAACGCAGCAAUCGGAAAGUUCAGUCUUGAGUGCGGCUGCCUUGGACGGUGCAGGGUGGAGAGCGGGGAGGCUUUGCAUGCAUGGAGUUAAUUAUUAAUGGGCUAAUGGCCGCCUAACCUUCUCCGUUCUGCUUGUGAUAAAACUGAAUCGGCGGCGCAUGCCGGACACCCGUUAUAUAGACCAAACAUGCUUAUGACUAAAAUAAGCUGAAGCUGAAACUAGUAGCCAAACGGUAUACUUUUUUCAGCUUCUUCUGUCUGCGCUUCUCUCCACAGGUUCCAUUUGUUUUCCUAUAUUAGUACAGUUUAUUUGAGAAGCAGCUCCCGCAGCAGUACCGUCGUAACCACACGCCCGGCGGAAAGCCUGGGAAAGCAUAGUACCAGCAAAGGAGUCGCCGGAGCCGCCCGCGAUGACGAAGUACGUCACGCUCUCCGUCCGGGACGAAGAGUACCGCGAGAUCACCCGCACCAUGCGCACGACCGACAAGCUGCACACCCUCAUCGAUUUCUACUACGACAUGGUGCCCGCCGUCGCGUACGGCGAGGGGGCCUUCCUGCACCGCGGCGAGCCGGUCGACAGGAUGAAGACGCCGGCGGACUACGGGAUGCGCGAUAGGGACGAGCUCGCCUUCUCGUCGCAGAUCGACUCGAGCACGUUCCUCACGCUGACCGUGCGGGAAGAGGAAGGGCUCGGGUCCUUCUCCCUCACCUUGCGAACGACCGACCAGCUGCGGGACCUGAUGGACUUCUGCUACGAGAUGGUGCCCACCGUCGACUACGGCGACGGGGUCUUCCUGUUCAACGGCAGGCGGGUUAAAGGCCACCGGACUCCGGAGGAGCUCGGUAUGGUGGAUGGCGAUUGGAUCGGUGUUACUUUCAGAGUUCGUUACUGAACGUCGUCGGGCUGCUUCCGCUGAACCGGCACCGCCCGUAUGUUGCUGCACUUUUCGUUGUGUAAGCAGCUGCUACUUGCGUGCAUCUAAAUUUCACGCAUCUUUUGUUCCAAAAUUUAUCGAUAUCCAUGAAUCGAUCCCUCUCACUCAUCUCACCGUGCUUAUGAUGUACUGAAAUAUGUCAUGGUUACCUAUUCUAGAGUAUCGAGUUUAAAGCCAAAAAAUAUGUAGUAUGUCAAUGUGACUUGAAGUGACAUGAUUCAACACUUUACACAAAAGCAUGGUCGUGCAACUUGAUUGAAUUGAUUCACAUUUUGUGAACAAAAACUAAUUCAACAAUUUCAAUGACCUGAUCUAGCGUUUUGUUAAACUAAUCGAUUCAACAUUUUAUAUCAAACUGUUUAGAAUGUUGAACUAGCGCGCUCAAACUUCUGAACUUCCUACGAUCGGAUCGGCCCAACCACAGCCCUAAACGGUCCGGCCCAGGGCGGCCUCGGUCGGUUGCCCUCUCGCCCAGCACGGGACCAUACCCGGUGCAGCGAAUAGGGUAUCCUCCCGCCGCCGCACUCUCUUCGUCCCGGAUCGAUCCCCAUUCCAUUCCCCACCCGGCUCCAGCACGGAACUUUCCUCUCUCUAGGGUUCCCCCCCUAUCCCCCUCGAGUCUCGACCGUACCAGGUAAAUUACAGGUCCACCCGUCCCGCGUUCGGUCCGAUCCCGUGAUUCGAGCCUUCGCGCAUCGAUCCGGGACUCUUCCGCCCGCAAAUUUCCCCGCGGCGGAGUUUCGCGGCCUCUUUGUAUUUGGGCCAUUCGAGUUGAUUAUUUUGGAGGAUUGAGUGUGCGUUGUUAGAUUUUUUGUGCGACGACUGCGGUGUGUUAAUUGGAGGUUGAAAGAAUUGUAGCUGUUUUGAGGCGGCAAGCGAGUGCUGCAGAAGCAUCACAUCUGCGCCGAGGCAUGGAUAAGGAGCUCUUCGCCAACGACGGCUCCUUCAUGGAGAGGUUCAAGCAGAUGCAGCAGGAGAUGCAGGAGAAGGAGAAGGCCGCUGCUACUGAAGCCUCAUCGGCUCCCAAGCACGGGAGCUCCAAGCCGGGGUUUGCUGUUGCGGCGAACAAGAGGCCGUUCGAGCUGAAGAAGGCUGGUCCAGUCGCCACGGGCGGGAAGCUGGCCUUUAGCCUGAAGAAGGCCAAGGUCGCGGUCGCCCCUAUUUUUGCGGCCGACGAAGAGGAAGAGGAUGUGGAGAGGGAGGAGCCUGCCAAGCGCCACAAGUCUGUGCAAGCUGAUGCUCCUGUGGCAGCUACCCCGGCAGGGGCUGUUGGUAAUCAUUUAUUUAUUAAUUCAUUCAUUCAUUUAUUGCUGUUAUAAUAUAAAAAAUUAUUAGUGGUUUCCCAUUCUUUGGAUUUUUUGUUGGCGUUCUGUGGGUGUAGUUGCUAUCAAAUGAUAAGAUAGAAAUAUGCGACAAGAAUUUUAAUUCAAUAAUUGUCCUAGAACAUCAGCUAUAUAUUGCCUCUUAUCUUUUUUGCUUUUGAAUUCAUUCCCCAUAUAUGUGACAUAUCAUAGGUUUUACUCUUGAGAUGACUUCUAAUUUGGUAUCCCAUACCCCAAUUAAUACCACCGACACAUAUGGUUAUAUUGUCAUUUUUUAAUACAUUUUUCUGUUCCAUGCAUUUGAGGGUGUUAUCCUGAGUCCUGACAGUAUUGCAUUCAUAUUGAUAGUGAAACGAACUAACUAGAUACUUUUUAUUUCAUUUGUCACAUACUGAUUUAACUAGAAAGUAGCACUGCGUUGCAUAUGCAUUUUUAGUGAAAUUAUUACUUGUAGGACUGCUUGGAUGUCAAGUAUAUUUUGGUUUCGUAUGGUUUCUAUAAUAUGUCAUAGCAUAAAAACUUUUAGGUGUUGGUAUACAACUAACAGUGUACAAAUGUAGUAUUCCAACCACCAUGUUAUUUUGGAGUUUAUGAAGGAAACCCAUUAAACACCUCUUUUUCCUAAAAAGUAAACACGAGGCAUGCUACGAUUUCCCUUUCUCACCACAUGCGAAGUAUUUAGCAUUCCUGUCUAAUUUCAUGCAGUACUAUCAGUAAACACAUUCCUAAUGUGACUAAUCUGAAUUGCAUACAUUCAUUUUGGAUUGUUCACAGUAUUACUUUAGCCUUUUUUUAUCUCCAUAUAUAUAAAGUAUUGUUAUAAUUAGCCUACCCCAACUUGCUUGGAACUGAAAGGCUAUGUUGUUGUUGUUGUUAUUGUUAUAAUCAAAGCUAACUGCAUUCAAAUAGGCAAAUAGUAUGUAUGUAUGUAUCAUGCUUUAUUUAGUUUUCCUCUGUUGGAUAGUUCUUCUAUAUACUGUAGAAAAUGGUGGUUUUCACAAUUUAUGUUGUUUCAGUUCCCAUGUAUUAAAAAUAUGGUUUUCAAAAACUCUGCUUUGAAAUGUUCCUGACAUCAAAACACAUCCUUAUAGUAUUGAUUUCAUGCAUUUACAAAUGAUAAAAAUGGAUCUAGAAAGCAACAAAUUGCAAUGCACAUUGGUGUUGGAAUCGACCAUCUAACAGUGUUUAAUAAUUUUUUAAAACUAUCCAAGAAAAUUGCUUGCUGUUGCACAACGUGAUUUAAACCCUCCGUUUAUGCUUGGCUCAUACGUUGUUAGGUUUACAAAAGAAACAUCUUUCUCAGUGUUUGGGUUCAUUAUAAGUCAGGCAGCAGAAAGUCGUGAAGGUUUUGUUUUUUUUUUCCGAUAACUGCAGCUUAUAGAUGAACUGUAUUGGCAUUGCCAGGAAGGAUAUGAUUGAAAGAGUUGGAGACUCUACUGCAGUAAUUUGCAUUGCCUUGUCAAUAUGCUUGAUAUUAAUAGUUCUUUAAGUGACAUGCAGCCCCACCCCCACCAAAUGAUAUGACAGUGAAGCAAGUUGCUGACAAAUUGGCAAGUUUUGUUGCAAAAAAUGGGAGACAAUUUGAGAAUAUCACACGGCAGAGGAAUCCUGGAGAUACACCAUUCAAGUACGACUGCACUACUUAUUUUUCUGAUAAACUCUGUUUUACUUUUAAAUUCUAAAAUCUGACUUUAAUAAAUUAUUGAUAUAAAUCUUGGGUUAUUUGCAGAUUUCUAUUUGACAAACACUGUCCAGACUACAAAUAUUAUGAGUUUCAGCUUGCUGAAGAGGAAAAGGCUCUUGGUCAGUCAAAGGAUGCUGAAGCAUCAAAAAAUGGUUUGUGGCACAAUUUUUUUAAUCAUUUUCUAUAUCUAAAAGUUCUAUAAAAGUCUUGAUGCUAUAUACUCUUGUUAAUGUAGCUAGUUCUAGCACUGCAAGCUUCAAAGCACCAAGUGGUCCGUAUAAAAGCUCAUUUGAACAAAAGUCCAACUAUCAGACACCUGCAUCAGCUUUGUAUGGGGCAUAUGAGGGUAGUUCUUCCCAAGGAAGCUCAUCUAGUUAUGGUAAAAUAUACAUACAUGGUUUCCUUUAUCAAAUGUUAUAUAUCUACAUUCUCUAUGUUCCUGGACUGUUCGCCUGUUUACAUUUGUUUGAGUUUGCAUUUUGCAAGUCAUCCAAAUCAGGCACUUCUAUUGCCUUAGUAUCUUAUUGUUAUUUCUGAUGUCUUGAAUAUUAUGUUUCAUCCUUGUAGCUUCAAUGAAUAGAUAUAUUGUAGGGUUUCUGUUGUGAACCAUUAAAACCCUACUGCCUGUCAUCUCCCUGAUCUAUAGUUUGCUUUAGGAGUAAAAACCAUUGCUUCCUAUCUUGAACUGUUUCUUGUUAUUAUAUGUGCUUAAUGCUAGUUCAUCAUUUUGCAGGUGAUCACAAUACAUCUGCACCGUCAGAUCCUGUAGCUUUGAUGGAAUUCUAUGCGAAGAAGGCUGCACAGGAAGAACGGAAGAGGCCACUAAGACAGUCAAAAGAUGAAAUGCCGCCACCUCCUUCUCUUCAAGGUACAUUUUUUGCAACAUGAUUUGCCGUACUGGAAGAACAUAAAAACUUCAAUAUUUGUUCUACAACUAAAAAUUCUUGUUUUGCAGGUCCUCCUAAGAAGGGACACCACAUGGGUGACUUCAUUCCUCAAGAAGAACUUGAAAAGUUCAUGGCACGCUGUAAUGAUGCUGAAGCACAAAAGGCUACGAAAGAAGCUGCCGAGAAGGCUAAGAUUCAGGCAGACAAUAUUGGCCACAAACUUCUAUCUAAGAUGGGUUGGAGGGAAGGUCAGUCAUUGAUGAAUACUAAAUAACAUAGUCACCAUUACAGUAAUUCUCUGAUCAAACCCUGUCAGAUCUUUUUUUCAAAGUCCCAGAUGUUUAUGGCAACAGUACAUCAACCCCUCUGACCUUGACCGUCAUAUUCAUCCAACAAACCUUAAAAAAUUGUCAAAUUAUGCUGUUAACAAAGCCUUCCAUCCCAAAUACCAGAUAUAAGAACUAUUUACAAUGGAUCCUUUUUCCUCAGCAUUGUCCUGCAUGCAUUAAUUCUCAAUAUCCCUACCCGGUGGAACCUUUUUUGUCAGGCACAUAGGAAGGCAAUUAGCGAUAAUAUGCACCAUUCCACUUCCAGGUGUUAAAUAUAAUUUACUGUGCAGGUGAGGGUCUUGGUAGUGAGAGAAGAGGCCGUGCGGAUCCCAUUAUGGCUGGAGAUGUGAAGAAGGAUCAUCUUGGUGUUGGUGCUGUCAAGCCUGGUGAGGUCACAUCUGAAGAUGACAUCUACGAGCAAUACAAGAAGAGAAUGAUGCUUGGAUACCGCUAUAGGCCAAACCCUCUGGUAUAUUUGCUGCCAUUGUCUACUUCCAGGAGUUGUAUGUUAUUUCUGUUUGCCUAAACACUUCUGCUAUUUUUGCAGAACAAUCCAAGGAAACAAUAUUACUGAUACAGGUUAGUUCAUCUAAGAUGUAAGACACCAAUUUUGCUGUAUUUUUGCUCACAUAACUAACAGCUAGGGAGUAUGACUAACAGCAUUGAAAGUUUUUGUUCAUCAGCAGAAAAACUAAGAAGCUCAUUUAGUCAGCAUAUAUCUUGGAAUGCCACAGAUCUGAGGCUUACGGGGGGUUCAACCGUAGCUUUGUUCUUUGUGUAGUGUUGAUCUUUGUUGCUUUAAAUUCACUUCCAUGGUGAUGUGUUGAAACGUGGAGCAUAGUUUCAUAAUGUGAUGUAUUGCCUUCUUGGAUGACAACAUAUCUUUCCUGAUUAUUCAUCUUUUUGUUGGGAUUUAUUGCCGCAAUAUCAUAUUUCCAUACUGGGAGGCAUAAUCUAAAAGUCUGUUGCAAUGGUUCUAUUUUAUUCUGGAUUCUGGAAUUUGAAUAGCUAUGUGGAACGUGAGUGUCGGUACGGAAGCUAUUACUUACUGGCAGCAUAUAACUUGGCGUUAUUUCUGUAGGAGUUAAAAUUCUGUUAUGCUCUCUGCCACUCUGAUGUGCUGAAUUAAUGGGUUACUUUGAUUGUGAUCUAAGCGCUUAUGGCCUGAUGGGCUAAUCUUAUUACACGGUUUUAUUGCAUAGUUACUUAGAUUGAAAACUAGGUAAUAGUGCUAGAUGAGUGUUAUGGGGAUUAAACUCAUUUCUUGUUUGAUGAAACUAUCUUUAUUCAUUACCUUGCCAAGUUAGGUCUCGUUCGUUUCAUCAGGAUUGGAUUCCAGCCAGGAUUACUUCCAGGUCCGGUUUGAGUGAUUCCACCCGUGUCACUCAAUCCGGCCAGGAUUCAUUCCAGGGGUGAGGAGUUAUGGUUUCAAUCCAGGCCAUCUAAUGUAGUAGGAUUCCAAUCCAGAUCGGUUUUCGUUCCAGGCAAGACUAAAACGAACAACACUUUCAAUGCAAGUCUGGUUUCAAACCGGACCAAUUCAAACCACCCGGAAUGAACCUCAUUCCGGGCCAAUCCGUGAAAACGAACAGGCCUUAGCAAUUUUGGUGUGGCAUGAACUCUCGUGAAACAGACUGACCUUACUGUUAUGCUCUCUGCCUCUCGGUCUCGGAUGUGCUGCAUUAAUGGGUGACGUUGAUUGGAAACCACAGUAAGGGAGACAUAAAUUUAUAUUUUAGGAAAAUAUCGUAAAGUUUGCACAAGCGUAUCUAUUACUCUAUAUUAAUGUUGCUAGACUAGACGAAAUCUCAGAGGCUGAGCUACUGUUCACCGACGCUGGUACGUGGGUCCGAAAUCCAAUCAGUUAUGAAAAAAAAAAAAAGAAGAAGAUUCGAGAGUCCACAGGUCUCGGUCCUCCACGACCACGAAGAAUCGGCGAACUCCAUUUGCCUAGCCGCACCUAUCGCCGUUGGUCCGCUCCGCACGCUGGGGCCGCCGGCUCGCUCCGGCGCCCGCUCCCUCGACCGGCGGAUCGCGCCGCCGCCCGCUCGAGCAGCCGCAUGCGCCGCCCGGUGGGAAUGUGAGAGCACAUCAGCAACCACCGGCGGCCGUCAACACCACUUGAAUCUUGGCAUGGAGAGAGAGAAAGAGAGAACAGAGCUGUGCAGCGCAAAAGUCUGGACAACCAACCGAAUCAGGCCACCGGCGUCGGCUCUGCCAUUGCUUCCACCGAUAGACUUCCAGAGCAGUCUGCCACCGUGGCCUCUCACUACCCUCUCUAGAGCAACCAGCAGCCGUGGCUCCGCGCUCACCGAGCCCAAAAAUGAUGGCCUUCUAGCUGCAGGCAAGACCUCAAUCCGCAGGAAUCAAAUUCACUCUCCAAGUCUUUGUAGCUUUUGUGGAUGGAUGGGGGAGAGAGAGAGAGAGAUUGCCAUGGGGAUGACCGGAUGACUAGAUGAAGGGAUAAAGGGCACAGUGCACUUAAAAAAGAAAGAAAAUAGGCCUUUUAGACGCUUUCCUCACUGGCUUUUUACAAAACAGGAGGGGAUCCCUUACUAAUUACUAUAUUAAGCAAAACAAAGAGAAAGUAUGUACAAAAGAAAAGAUAUUUAGCGAAUGAAAGAAAAAUUACAGCAGAGUAUGCAACCGUCGUACUUCAAUGGGAAAAUAGGAUUUCUUUGCUAAAUAAUGAUUCAGAGCAAAUAAAUGCAUAAAAAUCUCUUUCAUCUAGAGGAACGGCAUGAAUUUGAAUUCUGGUUUCAUUCUGAUUUGUUUCCUAAUUUUGUUCAAUACUCAAUACUAUAAUAUAUACUUAUAGCAAAGUAGAGAGAUUACAUAUGUAACUCUUUCCGUUAUUGCUUUGAGUUAAUAUUUUUGUACAGGCGCGCAUCGCGCGCCAAUCUAUCUAGCAUGGCACUUGGUGAGAUACGAAAGUUGACAAGUAGGGCCCAUUCUUGCCCCCCUUGUCUCACCAUCUCGUAUCUCGCGGCUGGCUCACUUGAACUACCAUGUGCUGGGCACCUGAAGCUGAAAUGCUGAAAGCGAAGCGCCCGCCGCCCGCAGCGAUCAGAGCGCCGGUACAGGAAUCUCUCACGCAGUCACGCUGCUGAUCGCCUCCCUCCCCAGUCCUCACUGAUUGCGCUUUGCCUCUGGCCCGGCCGGGGCCCCGGGCCUCAUGCAUGUCCAGUCACGCCCACCAAACGGAACGCAGCCAUCUUUUUGUAAUAAGCACCAAGUUGGCGGCGUUAACAAUGCGGGAUAAUCCGCUGGAUCAUCAUCGGGGACGCUGGCCUGGUUUGAUGACCUGGACGAAUAUCAUCGAGCUACCAAUCUUGGAAGAGAAGUCUGGAGGCGCAUGCUGUCGGGUGUCAGCCUGUCUCCACCGCUGGCCGCCUCGCUGUCAGCUGUACUGCACUGCACCCGGUCACUCAUUCACUGGCCGGUAGGCAAGCUUGAGGCUCAAGUAGCCGCCAUAAGCCUCCAUUGAGUACUCCUGCCAGCAUCACUGCCCAGACCUCCAGAUUUGUGGAGUGACGGUAGUAGCAGGUUACUUCUGGUAGGAAAUCGAAACCAUUCAGGACCAACGCCUGUCCGCUGGCGACAACGAAAAGCCGUUAUGGCGAGCGAUCGAUCCUGGUCUGGUUACAGUUAAGCGCGCCUCGGGUGUUAGGAUACCCCAUGCUAAAGUUUAGCACAUGUCACAUCGGAUGUUUGAUGCUAAUUAGGAGUAUUAAACAUAGGCUAAUUACAAAACUAAUUGCACAAAUAGAGUCUAAUUCAUAAGACGAAUCUAUUAAGCCUAAUUAGUCCAUGAUUUGACAAUGUAGUGCUACAGUAACUAUUUGCUAAUGAUGGAUUAAUUAGGUUUAAUAGAUUCAUCUCGCGAAAUAGCAUAGGGGUUUUGCAAUUAGUUUUAUAAUUAGUUCAUAUUUAGUCCUCCUAAUUAGCAUCCGAACAUCCGAUGUAACACUGCUAAAGUUUAGCAUCCAGUAUCAAACACCCGUCGUCGGUCUGACUGCUCCGAACGUUGUCGUUCCACCGGCCCCGAGAUCAUUCCCGGCUGCCUCGCAGCUGUGCGCGCGCUGGCGACCGCCUACCGGCCGCCAUGAUACGAGCCGCGCCGCGGACGUCAGGUUCGGCCGCUCGUCUCGUGGCGGCCGGUGGAGACUGGAGAGGUGACCUCGAGACAAACCAAUCCAGGAGGCCGCGGUGGUUGGCCACUCGCGAUCCGACCCGCGCGGGUCCCCCCGUGAAGUUCCCCCUUCGAGAUCGCGAGCCAAAAAUAUCGCAUCCCCGGCCGGCCGGCCCAGCUCCAACCUCCAACAGGAAGCAAAAAAAAAUCAACGGGCUUGUGGCGGUCGCGGUCUCGGGGAUCCGUCGGCCGGAGCGGCCGAACGAUCGCGUGUGGCGGCACGCCGCGCCGGGGACAUGAGGCGUCGGGCCGCGUGGAAGUGGAGGCGUGCGUGCUCAUAAAUGAGCACGCCUAGAAGCGGCCAGGAGUCCAGGACGGCGUGGUCGUCGUGUCACGGGCACUGCGCGCACGCCAGUGCCGUCCAUCACGUACCGUCGGCCGUGCGUUCUCUUUGCAGCGGCACGGUUUGGACACCGGAGGAAGUACGUGACAGGAUUUGGCAUGCGACCACUCGCACCGUACUUUGUAAAAAAGAUCAAGUAGCGUGGCGCAUUUCGGUUCCAGGCUUGGAUUACUCGCCGAGAUAGGCCGGGUGACAAGAUUAGGCUAGCUAGGGUAUGAAUGAGUGGUCGCAUUUUUCACUUUAUGGGUUUUUUAGAUCGCUUCCAGUUCAAAUUAUUCGUGAACCGAUCUAUGGACCGUCGAGAAGUUCAAACUGGAUUCCGAAGUAUUCGAAUCCAAAUCUCGGCGUGGCCGUGACCGUGACCAAACAGCCCAAGUGGGCGAGCUGCUGCUGCUGACCCGGCCGCGCAACCGCCUCCACAUGACCCAUCUCAUCUCAGGCUCUCCGCGGCUGGCACCCCACGUGCCGGCGCUGGCCUGACACCUUGGCGCAUGGGCGCGGCGCCCACCCGGCCAGCUCCGGUUGGGUACACCCGGUCCUUGCUUGACGGUGGAACAAAAACACGGCCGGCCCGGCAGCGUACGCGCUGCUGAUAAAAAGGCUAGCGACCGGGUAAAUUGUCGCGGCAUUUUGUCGGGUUAGACCGGCGCACCGUAGAUCGGUUCAUGGACCCCUGGUGACCUAGCGUCAUAGCUCGUCAUUUAGACAUAGGCAAAAGAAGAUCUUCAUAGAAGAAUGUGUUAGAAAAACGGAAAAACUCCAUCCUUAUUAGUCACUUGGGAAGCGUGCUACGACAAAUAAAAAAGAUGGCAAGCGACAGAUAAAAAGGGACGGAGAGAGUAUACGGUAACAGAGAUGCAUGCUGUUAUGUUUAUUUUACUACACUAUACCUAUCAAGAUCUUUAUAACAUUUUCGGAGUAAUAAAUGUAACCCUUAUUUUCUAGCUACCAGGUGACUCCUAAAUUUCGAACACAUAUUGUUAUAUUGUUGUACAAGGUUCAUUUUGCUCUUAUGAACCUACAUUGCAAAUUACAAUAGGGAUUUAUGUGUGAUUGUAUGACUUACGGACACAUGCACCAAAGAUUAUUCGAGCCAGUGAUGACCGAACUCACUUGGAUGAGAUGCAAGGGGAAAGAUGAAGUUAUGUUUUGGGGAUUACACCAAGUGUCGUUGUACGGACGAUGUAAACGGCUCCGUGCAGUUUUUUUUCUUUGGCACAAAGGCAUCAUUUUGUCAUAGAUAAAAUAAGUGUUUGUUUAAUUCAAGGGUAUGCAGCCUCAACAUUUACCUUGGUUCGUAAGGAUUUUGAUUCAGUUCCAUUCCUGUGAAUGCUUCUUUUUGUUCGAAAAAUUAAAAUGCAGAUAUCGUGCUUAGGAAGAAUACCGGACGGCUGGCAGUAACAAAUCAUACAGUAUUUGCCUUCUAUAAAGGCAGCUGGAGACUGUUCUCCGAAAUAAAUCAUAGCGGCUUAGGAGUGUUUGAUACGAGGCGCUAAACUUCAGCAGGUCAUAUCGGAUGUUUGGAUACUAAUUAUAAAGGUCAAACACGAGCUAAUUACAAAACUAAUUGCACAGAUGGAGUCUAAUUCGCAAGACGAAUCUAUUAAAGCUAAUUAAUCCAUCAUUAGCAAAUAGUUACUGUAGCACCACAUUACCAAAUUAUGAACUAAUUAGACUUAAUAGAUUCAUCUCACGAAUUAGACUCCAUCUGUACAAUUAGUUUUGUAAUUAGACUAUAUUUAAUAAUUUAUAAUUUGUAUUAAACAUGCCAUAUGACAGGUACGGGUAUCCAAACACCUCCUCUCCUUUCCUCUUGGUAUGUUUAGCAGUUACCCCUGGCGAAGCCGUUUCGUCGACGUGCCGUGGUUUAACGGACGGGACGGGGACGGCCGGCUCACGUGAACAACGCCCACGAGGCCGCGCUGGCUCUUGUAAAAGCAACCGCUCCCUCCCUAGACGCUAGUGCCUCUUUCCUCUCUCCUCCGCCCCUUUUUAUCGCCCGAUCUCACACAUUUUGGAAAGAGGAGAGAGAGAGAACGCCCAGCCAAACAGCCAAGGAAACAAACCGCGGCGAGAGGCGGAGGAGAGGGAGGAAGGAGGGCAGAGGACGAGCAAGAUGAGAGAGAUCAUCAGCAUCCACAUCGGCCAGGCCGGGAUCCAGGUCGGAAACGCCUGCUGGGAGCUCUACUGCCUGGAGCACGGCAUCGAGGCCGAUGGCACCAUGCCCAGGUGAGUGACGAUCUCGAUCCGCGAGUGCGUUGCUUUUGGUUCCCCAAAUUUUUUGCUGCGUGCAUCCGCCUCGCGAUCUAGGUUCUCGGCUUGGGCCGCCUCGAAAAUCUGGCGGUCUCGUUGCAUCUCCUCGUUGUUUCCUUCUUCUCGAGAAAUCCUUGCUUCGGCGGAGCCAACGAUGGGCGGGCGGGUGGGUAUGUUAGAUUGGAUGGUACUGUCAUGGCAGUUCCGUGUUCGUGUCUUCCUUUUCGUUCUACUUCUCGUUGCUCCUUGGCUCCUUGUAAUGGGUUUUUUUGGGUGGGAUAUGUUGCGCUUUGUUGGGCGUUGGUACAUUUCUUUGCCGGUUGUUGAGAGAUUCCCAGCACCGGACGAGAUGCGACAUUUCCUAAUUAAGAGUCUGCCCUAGCAUUUUCGGACUAUUAGGCCUUUAAUUUGGUGCGUUUGUUCUGUUCCUACUAAUUAGGCAGGCGUCACAGAGGGGAUGCGUUUGGCUUUUGUAUAGAGGAGCGCACGUUAACAUGUCGUGGGACAAAUUGGGUUUCCAACUCCGUAAGACGCAAGAUCUGAAGAGUUGAAUCUGUGGGGAUGCUCAAUAAAUACUGUAACUGGUUAGCUCUGGUGGAUGUCAGCCCAUGGAUCUCCCUAGAUUCAAAAUAUCUGGUCCAUUGUUAAAAGUGCUAUGCUUAUCUCAGUUUUGCGUAAUCUUGUAGCGCCAUAGAAAAUUGUGCUGAUGCUACUGAGAAUAGAAAUCAUGUUGGGGAUCCUGAGGAGGCAGGUUACGUAGGCUCUAAUUUAUCUUUUGGCGCAUAUGCCAAUGACUCUUGAUUACAUUAACUGAGUUAACUGAUUUAUAAGUUCUUACUGUGCGGUUUUUUUAACGCUGUAUUGUUUGAUUGUGAUGCAGUGAUACCUCGGUUGGCGUUGCACAUGAUGCCUUCAACACUUUCUUCAGCGAGACUGGUUCUGGCAAGCAUGUGCCGAGGGCCAUCUUUGUCGACCUUGAGCCCACUGUCAUUGAUGAGGUGCGCACUGGCUCAUACCGCCAGCUCUUCCACCCAGAGCAGCUCAUCUCCGGGAAGGAGGAUGCGGCUAACAACUUUGCCCGUGGCCACUACACCGGUAAUUCACAUUGUGCCUUUGUGAAUAUGUAAUAGGAGUGAGUCUUGUGCUUCUGCGACUGCGGAUAUGUUCGAUUCUAAUUAUGUUUGUGGAAUGCAGUCGGAAAGGAGAUUGUCGAUCUAUGCCUGGAUCGCGUGCGCAAGCUGGCAGACAAUUGCACUGGGCUGCAGGGAUUCUUGGUGUUCAAUGCUGUUGGUGGUGGUACUGGCUCUGGACUUGGUUCACUGCUGCUGGAGCGCCUCUCAGUUGAUUACGGCAAGAAGUCCAAGCUUGGGUUCACCAUUUAUCCUUCCCCACAGGUAUGGCCUUUCCAAGAGGAGGUUGACUUAAGUAUCUGAGAAAUUGAUAAAAUCAAGUAGGUCUUGAAUCUCUAUUGGGCAAUUUGCUUAGACUUGUAUAUAAUUAAUAUCCUUGCGAACCCAUGCUAAGAUAUGGAUCAUGUAACUUGGCAGCGCUGUUAUUGCCUUCUGAAUUGCACAGAUACACUGGUUAUUGGAUCAGCCUAGCAUUAAUUAAAUCAUGUGUGGACUAAACGAGCAACUGUUGUAGACUUCUGGAGUUCUGGUUAGUGAGGAUCUUCCUUUAUAUGGUUAAGACCAUGAUAGCACAACUGUCACAGGCUACAGGCUUUCUUUAUUAGUGUCCCUAUAAAUCAUGCACUGCACAUGAGCCAACAUUAUCCUAUAGUGCUUCUCCCUCCUGUCCAUUUGAUUGUGGGCCAUUUAGUUUGUUCAUGUGAGUCUGCAUCUUAGCUGUUGUGGGGGACAGUGGGUAGAGAUGUUGUUUAAUGAUUUUGGGUAUGGUCCAUCGUUUAACUUUUCAUCUAAUGCCACUCUGGAUUGCAGGUGUCAACAGCUGUCGUAGAGCCAUACAACAGUGUCCUCUCUACCCACUCCUUGCUUGAGCACACAGAUGUUGCAGUCCUCCUGGACAACGAGGCUAUCUAUGACAUAUGCCGGAGGUCCCUUGACAUUGAAAGGCCAACCUACACCAACUUGAACAGGCUGAUCUCACAGAUCAUAUCUUCGCUUACCACCUCCCUGAGGUUUGAUGGUGCUAUCAACGUGGAUGUUACUGAGUUCCAGACCAACCUUGUUCCAUACCCACGUAUCCAUUUCAUGCUUUCAUCAUAUGCCCCUGUAAUCUCUGCCGAGAAGGCCUACCAUGAGCAGCUCUCUGUGCCUGAAAUCACCAAUGCUGUCUUUGAGCCCUCAAGCAUGAUGGCCAAGUGUGACCCAAGGCAUGGGAAGUACAUGGCUUGCUGCUUGAUGUACCGUGGUGAUGUUGUUCCCAAGGAUGUCAAUGCUGCAGUUGCAACCAUCAAGACCAAGAGAACUGUCCAGUUUGUGGACUGGUAAGCUGUCUCCGUCACAAUUUUAGUUAGUUGCACUUAUUUGAUGAUGUCACAAGCACCUGUCCACUUGAUUGGCCAUGCUAACUAACCAAACUGUGGUGCCGCCAUACAGGUGCCCCACUGGGUUCAAGUGUGGUAUCAACUACCAGCCACCAUCUGUUGUCCCUGGAGGCGACCUGGCAAAGGUCCAGCGUGCAGUGUGCAUGAUCAGCAACAACACUGCCGUCGCCGAGGUGUUCUCACGCAUUGACCACAAGUUCGACCUGAUGUACGCCAAGCGCGCCUUCGUGCACUGGUACGUCGGUGAGGGUAUGGAGGAAGGCGAGUUCUCGGAGGCCCGUGAGGACUUGGCCGCGCUCGAGAAGGACUACGAGGAGGUCGGCGCAGAGGGCGCGGACGACGAAGGUGACGAUGGAGAAGACUAUUGAGUAGCUGGUUAAUAAGUAGUUCGCUGGUGGUUAAUGGUUGGGUUGUUGGGUAUACUCUGUAUGGUUCCAUUCCAUUGCGUACUGCUGCCGUGUGUGUUUCCAUUUUGUAUUAUGUGGUAUAAAUUGUUCGUAGCGCCUGGUUGGCCAUGAUUGUUCAUAUCGUCUUGCUUUGGUUUGCAAUGCUAUUCGAUGAAUUUCGGUGUAUAUCAGUAUAUGGCAUUCUGUUGCAAGUGUUCUGUGCUCUCAACCAUUGGGGAGGAGUUUGAUCUGCCCCGCGGCGUGUUGUCAGGUGGAUAUCAACCAAUGCAGGAUAUGGUUUGCAGGUUGCUCAUAGAUGCCUGAUGCUACGAUCACUGACCAUCAGUCACCAAUGCAUUUGAGGUGGGCAUGGUGUGUCUGAGCUGCUUGAGCCAUACGCUCAGGGUAUGAUGGCAUGUGGAGAUCGCCGUGCUCGUCUGGCACAUCCGGCAAGCGCUGGUCGCGCACAUUCCCCCGGUUUGUCCAGACUUGGUGUCGCGACUCGCGAUGCAAGAGGGAUGAUAGGUGAGACAGCUUGGAAAGUGUUUAGAUCUGUGCACGAGAGCCCCGCGACCUGGUGCCAGUCGAUGUGGGUUGGUUGGUUUGGCAUCUGGUAGGUUUGGUGGCCUCAUGACGCUUUAACUUGGGAUGUCUCGUUCAGGAUCUCAGAAUUAUGAUGUGUCGAAGAAGCGUAAGGCCGGGUAAAAGUUGGAACUCACCCGACGAGCGUGAGUGUGUGACCCUGGAGUUUCAUUAUCGAAAAAAUUAUCUGGCGGACUUCCUGACCCGCCAUGGAUUCAGGCCAGGUAGGCAGCAUCAUUGAAGUACUACCAUCUGGAGUAAGAGUCGGUAGGUUUUCUGCAGAUCAGCAGAUGUGCGUCCCAGUAGCUAUGACUCCACUGGAGCAGAAGCAAACUGAGCCCAACCCGGCAGCCCCAAGAAAAAAGGUUUGGGCUGGGAAAUUGGGUUGCCGGCAAGGCCUUGUUGCGUGACCAGACUCCGGCCCAAAGAGGUGGCAUUACAAUCACCUCCAAAUAACGUAGCUUAGCUGCUCUCCAAAACAAAAAUUAAAAAAAAAUAACGUAGCUUAGCUAGCUUGCUGACUGACGAUGCCAUGGUUACAAAAGAUGCCAUGGUUUGAUUUGAUGACAACAAUGGAGCCGUUGCCGAAGAUGGAUCCACUCGAGCAAGGGCACAGGCCGCCACUCAGUUUUUCUAAUUUCAAUGGGCAUAAAGCUUAUCUAGUAAAGUUAUAAAGGCACACAUUUUUUCCAACUAGAUCCGGCAGCUAUGGUGUCACGGAGGAAUUGCCACAAAGACGAACAUCCAAUGUGUUGGGGGUUGUCGGAUGGGAGAGAAUUUCCCGCAUAUUAUUGGAUGCAUGGACAGAAGUUCCCACCGUUGCGUGAGCGCUGACACUACGAAAACUGACACCGCCCAUGCAGCAACUUGCAUUGCGUUGGUUAGAGCAACUGUUCCGUUCGUUGCCAUUUUGUUCCCUCCUCCGGCAUGUUUAAACUAGCAAAGCAUAAGUAGCCAGGGGGGAUCAACUGCAUCUGCCGCCUGCCGAUAACACGGCCGAGUCACUCACAUGGAGGAGUUCUGAUGCUUUUGCCCACCCUGCUGAUUCCUGAUCCCUGAAUAUUAUCGCGUGUCCAGGAGUUCCGGGACCCAUUGCUCACCUGCUCCGCUAAAAAAAGUUGCAAAAAAAGAAAGAAAAAAUGGCUCUCCCCUCCUUGUCCUCGCAUUCCCGUUUGUUUCUGCCGCUGUCGCGAGCGCUCAGCACAAACUUUCUCUGCUCAGCUCUCGUGCAGGCUGGAGUUGAAGUGUUGAACCAUCGUCCGCGAGCUGCAACCGAGCCAAAAACCGGGAUCGAUGGGAUCGGACUCCGUUGGACGGGCUCGAUUGGAAGUGAAAGGUGAUUGGGGGGGGGGCCCGCGACGACAAAAGCUUGGUAAAUGUGCCGACACCUGGCAGCGCGGCGGCAUGUUUGGCUCAAAUUUGAGCGCUCCAACCCCAACAAGGCAGGCUCGGGCUUAUAUAACUUGGGCCCCAGAGAACGCGCCAUAACCUGCAUUGAUCGUGCACCAAUCCUCGAGGGAAGUUCGUUUAGCGAGUUCUUGGAUUUCCCCGUUGGAGGGACAUAUCCAAAUCUUAAUUUUUUUUACGGGAACGCCAGGGAAGGCCCUACCCGAUUUUUGUUAUAUAUAAAAAGGAAUAUGUACAGUUUACAAGGCUUCAGGCUCAAGGUAAAAAGAGAGAGUUCACAAGAGGCUACUCAGCCAAAUAUUAAUCUUCUGACUAAUGGAAGGUUUUGCCCUAAGGGUAACCUUUUCUAGCUCCGCUACAAAAACAAGCUCUCCAGCAGCUGAAUGAUAGAGUACCACCAUCAAAGAUUAUGCUGUUCCUGUGACACCAUAAGGCCCAUGACGCAAUUAUCACAAUCUCCCUAAAAAAUACUGGAUGCAAACCUCUCCCGUGCUCUGUCAAGAGGUUGGAGGCUGAGGUCCCAUUGAAUGUCCAAAUGUCCAAAUACAGCGAACAGGCCUGGCUGAAAAGGACAGUAAAAGAAUAAGUGACUGAUUGUCUCCUCUACAUUCCCAAUGCACAAAACACAGUUGUAGCUAUCCAAGUACAUGUUCCUUCCAUGUAGGAGGUUUCUGAUGUUAAGCUUAUCACGAAGGAGGAGCCAGAAGAAGAACUUGUGUUUGUUUUGAACCCUAGACUUCCACAUCUAUUUGAAGAGAGGGGAGGCCCGUAUAGAACCCUGGAGGCUUUUGUAAGCUGUUUUGCUUGUAAAGACUGCAGAUCCCCAAAUAUAAGUCCAGACAUCAUUUUGCAAAUCCCCCAUGUGCAAUUGGUCUAAAAGCUGCUGAAGUUCAGUCAGUUGGGCAGCAGCAAUCUGAGCUAUUGUCGGAGGCGAUAAACUUUCUCACCGAAAUAGAAUUUCUCUUUGAGAAAGAGGAAAGCUGCGGAAAUCUCCAUUUGAGCACACCUAAGUCUUAGAGAUCACUCCAGAAGGCAACUGAGUUUCCUUUCUGAGCAUUGCAAGUAGCUAUCAUGGAGAGGUUUUGCGCCAGAGAUAUGAUGUCCUUCCACCAAAAGGAUCCAACAUUCUGCCUUUCAAGGGGGAGUACCAUUCUUAUACAACCACUGCCAUGUGAGAUGCACCCAGGGUAUGUCCACUUUAUUAUAAAAUUUGUGAAGAAAUUUGAGGAGAAGCGUAGUGUUGUCAGUCCUUACUCCUUAGGUUGAUAAUGCCAAGACCACCAUCUUCUUUGCUCCUGCAAGCAUGCUCCAAGCCACCAAGCAACCACCCUUUUUGUCAGAUCACCACCAUUCCAGAGGACAUGUUUCUAGUACUUGUCAAUUUUGUCCAAGAUUUCCACAGGUAUCUUUAGAGCACACAUGUAGAAGGUGAGCAUAACUGAGUAUAUAGAAUUUACAAGAAUUAACCUACCAGCAUAAGAUAGCAUCCUUGAUGUACCCAUGAGGUGCUUUUCCAUACGUUCAAGGAUAGGCAUGAAAUCCACUACCGAGGUCCGAGUGGUUCCAAGAGGAAGACCGAGAUAAGUGAAGAGCAUGCUUCCAAGCUUACAACCUAAGGUUUCUGUUAACUCUGGCCAUUAUUUUGAUUCCUCCACAUUAAUGGGUACCAGGAUAGAUUUGUGGAAAUUUACCUUGAGACCAGUGGAAGUGGCAAACGUAUGAACUUUUUUGUAUAUAAGAUUCAAAUCUUAACUUUGAAAUACCAAUCUCAUUUGAUUAGUUUUGGACGAAAAAUUCAUACUACUUCGACCUUCUUUAGCAAGGCUCUACUUGGCUUUGGCUCCAGCUCUUUGCUACAGUGAUCGAUACUGUGCAACACCAUUUUGAGCUGUAGCGUGAAACCAAAACGCAAAACGAGGAGUAAAAUGGACUAAGGAGAAGAUAAAGUCGGUGAAGCAAGUUUAUUGGACUUCACCGGCUUCAUGCUACAGUGAUGAACAAUACAUGAAAAGUGCUAGAGCUGUAACCGAAGCCACGCCAAAUGCACCCUUAGAAUCUUAGCGUACAGGUAAUCUGACGAGAAACUGAUCCCUCGUCUACAGCCACAAGGCAAUCAGCUAAAUGCCUGUGAAAAUUGGCAAGUUUUGAGCAACACAUAUCCAUUGAAAUGGGAUAGAAAUUGAAAUAUAAACUCCAUUCCGCUUAUAUACCAGUGAUGACUGACGACUACCUCUUCUCCACACUCCAUUUUUAUGUACUUAAAAAAAUUGAAUGGAGGUUCUUCAAAAAGAAAUUGAAAUGCAGAAAAGAAUUUGAAUGAAGAAGUCUCAGACGAAAAUUUCUUUUUUUUUAGACGAAAAGUUUCUGCUACUGAAAAUCUUCAGCAAAUUCGAGUGCCGGAAAUUUGCGCAAGAUUUGAGCAACACUGGCGAUCUAAUCGACCGUCCUGAUCAAAUGUUCGUGGAAAAGGGAAGAAAUAAAAAUUUCUUCACCUAGAGAUAUUAGAUCCAGAGGAUCGAACUACACCGAAUUUAUCUCCACAAAGGGUACACCAAAAGAAUUGAAUUCCGAGAUCAGGUGCCAUUAUGCAGCUCAAGAAGAGAUACUACAUCCUGAAAAUUGGAAUGCACAAUGACUUGCUUUGCCACACGGCAAAAUUCGAAGCAUUUUCGCACAAAAAUGCAUCCACUGGCUACAACGAGUAGGAUCCUCGAUCUUCGUCUUCCUCUUUACACCGCGCACGCACACAUACACCUGACACCUGUUACUUCCCCGACAAUGGCCAACAUCCAGGAGGCGAAAGAGCAAGAACGACGACGCACGCACGCAGUUGAGGUGAGGCUAGCUACUAGCUCAGUGGCAGAGCGGCGAGAGAUCCCAGAGCGGGUCGCAGGCGGAGGCGUCGAGCACCCGGUCGAAAUACUCCUGCAGGCCGUUCAUGGCGUACAGCGACGCCGAGAUGCGCCGCUCCACCUUGAUCCGCUCGAACUCCGCCAUUUCGCCCGGCGCCGCGGUGGCGACCGGCUCCUCUUCCACGGGUGCGGCUGGGACGGCGGUGUCGACAGCGGCGAAGCUGUCCAGAGCCGGGAACUGGCCGAACGCCGAGUCGAACAUCCAAGAAUCGAACUCUUCGGCGCCCACGGCGGCGAACUCCGGCCGGUACACCUCACUGGCGUCCAGCGCGCCGCCGCCGCCAUUUAGCACGGCGUCGUCGCAGCUGACUGCGCUGCUGGAGCUGCUGCUGCUGCUGCUAGAGCCACCACAAGCACUAUUCGUGCUAUUACUAUUAUUAUUGCUAUUGCUAUUGCUAUUGCUAUUGCUAUUGCUCGUGGUGGGAGCAGGGGAGAUCGCCGCCUUCUUCUUCGAGAUGGCGGCGGCGGCGGCCGAGGAGGAGCUCGCCGCGGCGGCCUUGGCCUUCUUGACCUUCUUGUGGUGGAGGAGGCCGCGGAUGCGGACGGCGAGCGGGCAGUCCGGGGAGAUGCGGGGCGCGAAGUUGGUGCGGGCUUCGUUGCCGCGGAGGAGGCGGGCGGCCUCGUCGUAGGCCUUGGCGGCGGCCUCGGCGGUCUCGAAGGUGCCGAGCCACAUGCGGAUCUUCUGCGUGGUGUCCUUGAUCUCGGCCACCCACCGCCCCGACGGCCGCUGCCGGACGCCGACGAACUUGCUGUGGUUGUUGCUGCCCUUCUUCCGGCCCCGCGGCUUGGACGGCUUGGCCUGCGCCGCCGCCUCCUGCUGGUAGUAGUAGUAGUAGUAGCUGCUGUAAUCCUCGAGCUGGAACCCUGAUGACUGUGGCUGGAAGUGGAGCUCCAUUGGAGGCUUUCUUGGUGUUCGAGCUGAUGGUUGGAGUGGUUGGAGGGGAGAGGAGGAAGACAGGUGUCGAUCUGCCGGGUGCUUGCUCUGCUUUGGUUUUGGUGGUGAGCAGCUGAGCACAAGGGGAGAGGAUUUAUAGAGGAUUUCAGGUCACUUGGCAAUGGAGCCCUGUGGGGUUACUGUCAUGGGCUGGUCAAAUGCUGGUCUGCCUAUGAUCAUGUGAAGUGAGUGUUUGGGGGAUAAGGCAUCUUGUUGGGUUCUUUUUGUCCUUUCAGUUUGUUUUUCGGCUUUGCCCUUAUGCAUUGUCACUGAGCAAACAAAGCUAAGCUGGUGUUCUUUCCAUGAUUAUUUUUUUUAACUAAGUUUGUGCUAUUGCUGGAUCAACAAAUCGGUGAGCUUGCAGCCUUAGUGCAUCACCACUCACCACUAUUUGACCUUUUGGCAUUUUCUUUCAUUACUAUAUAUCAUAAGAAAGAUAAUCAUUUUACUUUUGACUCAGUACAGUGGAAAUUCCUUUUUCAAUGUCUCAAAGGGUUCAUGCCUGCAGGCUGCAGGCAGCAAGCACACUAGAGUUCAGCAAGUACAUGCUCCCCACUACAAUGCCAAGCACCGAGUAAAACUUGGAAGCAGGGGUCAGAGGGUCUACUUCAUCUAGUAACUUAAAUUACCAUGUCUACACCUGCAUGCAUUACCUUAACCGAAAUUUUUAGGACACUGAUUGGACUAGUUCUUCCAUAAUUCGCGGUUAUCCCUCUGGUCAAGCUACUUACAUGAGACCGGGUCCGAAUUGCACCAUAACCCGCCACAUGGCAGCAUUAGAGAGAAUGGCGACGAGCAAUUAGGAUACAAAGUAGAAACGGCUAAACAUCACCUUUUCAUCGACCACGCCCACUUGUGCUUUGUUUAUCUUGUUUCUUGACAAAAGCUGCUAUCAACCAAGUCUUUCUCGUCACUGGAUGAUGUACUCGUCCUUAGCUAGUUCAAUUUUGGGCGCCCAUGAGUUUUUGAAAGAAUCUUUGCACAGAUAGCAUAUGAAUAUCAUACAAAACAGCAGCCCGAAUUGUUUUCCGCAGUAAUAAAAUGCUUACUACCAAGCAUUAGUACUUGAACACAUCACAAAGAAAGUGUUACUUUGACAUGGACACGAGUGCCGGAAUCCGACUUCCGACUAGGGUUCGAUUCUUCGACUAGGAAAAACUUUAUUGAAAAUAGAUAAUAGUUAUUGUCUCUUCGGAGACGUCCAACAAAAUUACCGGGCGUAUGAAUGAGUACCGGAGUCCAACUCGGAUUUGUGAAUUGGCAUGGGAGUUGAGUAACACACACAAGAUUCUAGAUCCAGAUAUAUGAUAGCAGUUUUUCACUUUUUUGGAAGUUCCCUUUGACAUGGAAGUUGAGCUAACAGUUGACCACCCGUUCAGGCCUUCUUUUUGCAGAAUGAGCACUUGAGGAGUUCAAGGUAACAAUACGUCAAUAACUGGAGUGUUAGCGUUAUGAUUUUUACACUAGGAGACAAAUCUAAACCCUGAAGCAUCUUUGCUUUACCUUUGAGAAUAGCAACAAUUCUCUAGCCGGUUGAAACUGAAGCAAGCAUGAUGGCAAAGGCUUUCUUGAUCUCUCGGAACUAAAGAGACGGCACUGCUAGUUUAAUGAAACAGGUCUUCUCUUUGCAUACCACAAUGUACUGUUAGGAUUAACAAAGCUACAUUCCUUGGUAAGCAACGGGCAUAUUUUCCCUUCAUAACUUGAGAAAAGGUCAUCGUCAUGACUCAUGAACACGGACCCCUUCAACUCCAAAGGCUUGCCUACCUCACCUAUCAAAAAGGCAAACUUUGUCAAAUUGUGGCGCGUCAUUCCACCAAAUAAACUAUGUUCAGCUUGCUGAUUGAGCAAUAGGAUAGAGCACCCACAUUGGCCAUAGUUUUAUAGUCAGGAUGACUCCAAGAAGGCUAUGGCUCGUAACCUCUUGUUUCGUAGCAUGGCAGAUGCCCUGUUUGUCGCUGUCAAGGUGCAUUUCUUUGUCGAGCUCGGUGGGGCUACCUGCGCCAACAUGACAAGAGACCACUUUUUGGGCAGCAGCAAGGUCAAGAAAGAUGGCAUCUUGGCAUCGGUCCCGGGGGUUGGUUUCAGAUUUGUCUUUGUGUGAUGGAGCCGCCAUGGAGCAGGAGGAGAUGGACAUAUUCCAGCCGUGUUUUGGGAGGUAACCCUCUCGCGACCAAUUCUAGCUCAUUGCUGACGUCAAAACUUUUCGCAGCGAAGAUUAUCUGAAAGCUACCUUUGGAAUUUUUUGCCAUUGGUUCCUUUACGGUGACGAAUGCACCUGCUAUGUGGUUGUGUACUUCUAUUGAUUUGUUGAGAAGAAAACCCAAACAAGGACUAUCUGGCUAUAGGGAGCUGGGACGAUAAACAAAAGCAGCAUCGUAAUGCAUGCUCCUUCAAAUCUAGAAAGAACAUGAUACGGCUGCAUAUAUCUAAAACGAUUUCGGUUGGGGCUGCCAUUUCCAGCUCCCCAGCCGUCGGGAAUCUUCAAUUCCGCCGCAGAUUUCUCGAUGCCACUCGUAUGAAGACAAGGCCGCCAUGCACAUGUGCGGGCAUAUCAACGUUCAACGGAUAGAAUCGUGAAGUUAUUUUUCUUUCAACACAUGUUAAGGUAGCAAAUUUCAGAAGCCACACAAAAGGUAAAGCCACGUUCGAACUAUCAUCUGUUCGUAGUGGCUUUUUAACUCGAUGCCAUGCUCGACGGCUUUAACACAAGCUGGUAAACGUUUCGUUUUUCUCAAUUACUAACCACGGAGCAUGCACAACUUCAGCAUUUCCAAACUGGGCAUAUCUCAAAAGUUUGCAAGAAAAAAUUGGCAAAUAAAAUGACUACAAUUAACGGGCAUCAAAGCGAUGCAGAAGGCAAUCUCACUCAAAGUACAAUGAUCUCAUUACCAAAACUGAUGCAGCAUAGGUCCAACCCAACCGACAACAAACCUCACCAUUUCCCUUACACCUCUGUUGCCAGCACGUCUCAAAACCAUAUUUUGAGUACAUGACAAUAUACACUCUACAUCAAAACCAUGUAUGCAACUUCCAAUUCCUCCAAGCGACCGAUGCAUUCACAAAUUACCCCACCCAGAAAAAGAUUCAACACAAAAGAAUUGCCUGACAGUAACAAUGAUGAAAUAUCAAGAAGAAGAAAAAAUGCAGCCCGGACCUUGCAGCGGCAAAAAACAACUAUGUCGAUAAGAUGGACUGUAGCAGGAGCUGCUGCUGCGGUUGCAAGUUGGAAAAUGUUGACGCGAGAAAAUCUGGAGGUAAAGUCUGCUGGAAUCGCCUCAAGAUAUUGACCAUCUUGUUUUUUGUUUCAUCUGUAGCAAGCUCUGUCCCAGGGCACAAAACCUGCAGAUUGUACAAGGACAAUCAAUGAGUUCAUCCAUAACAGUUAAGUCAAACAUAGUUAUCGCUACAAAUUUACAACCCUACCAAAUUAGAGUACACAUAAAAAAAUUACCUCUGCAAAUAUUGAAAUAAUUUUCAGAAGAUACUGAUUCUGAGGGCCAAGAAUUUCUCCAUCCGACCUGCAAGCAGAAAUGGUUAUUAUAAACCGCAAAUGGGAUCCACCUUAGUUGGCAGAUUUCCAGUCAAGAACAUACCUCUCCACCAUUGAGCAAAGUUGCUCAUGUACAACUUUAGCUUCAAUCUUAUCAUCUUUUAUAGGCAAGCAACUAAGCCAUGCUGGAAUAACCUGAGAAGACUGUAUAGGUCAGUUUCGAAAAGUAUCAUCCACAAGCACAAAUAACUAUCCCCUGGCAAAGCUACAAGUGCAAAAUUAGGCUUCAGACACCACGCAGUACAGUUAGAAGCUGAGAGGUGUUCAGUUUGAGGAAUGGGUGGUCCAUCAGACCAUAACCUUCUCACUCCUCACAUUUUUGUUUGGUUUGGGAAAUAGGAUGAGUUGAUCCAUCACCACCUCAUCCCAACAAGCACAUGGUUAACUUAAUAAUGAAGAAUUGGCUUAACCCACCAAAAUUCAUGGGAUGACUCCAUAGACCAUUCCAUCCUAGACGAGGAGACUCCUCAAACCAAACACCCUAUUAGGGUUUCAGUGUGUCCCUUGCUCCUCACUCUCAGUGUCCACGCUCUCAGUCUCAGUGCGGUGAGAAGAAAGGAGAAAAAGGGUUGACCCUUUUCAGGAAUGAAAGAGUUACAAUCAGCACCGUCUUAAGAUUUUCAAUUCCAGAUUUCAGGCUUCACGCUGCUAAGCCAGCCUAGUACUGUGCCUCAGCCUCCAAGAGCAGGUACACCUUCCUAUUACCCCCCCUCCUUCCCACAUGAACUACUGCCUACGGCACACCGAGCAAUUUCUGGAAACAUGCCGUCACAAUCGGUAGGCAAUAGAUACAACCUCCAAAUAUUCAUCCAUUACCAACAACUAAGCCCUUGUCUCUAGCAAGUUGGGGUAAGCACAUAACAAGAAAAUGUUGGCCAUAUCAUCAGAGGAAAAAAAAGACAUUGAGAAUAGAGCAUAUACCUGGGCCGCGUCAAUGCCAUCCCGAUGAAAUUGACAUAUUUUUCCAAGUGCCGAAACAGCAUUGUCAUAGGCCAUAAUAUUGUCUGGAAGUCGUGCUUCAGGAUGUCGGAUAACAUUGUUUAACUUUGAUAGGGCCUCUGAAUUCAGAAGCAUAACAUGGUUGGAUUAGUUGUAGAAUGUUGAAAAAAAAGCAAAACAUGUAAAUACUGGAAAUAUAAAGAAACUACCUCCAACUAGAGGGCGAAAAACAUGACCACCAAACUCAGCACAUACACCCACACCAUAGACAGCAGCCUAAAUGAAGAGGUCCAGCAUUAUAUCAGUGUCCAAUGAGACCGAGUAAAACGGGAGAAUGGGUCAAGGGAACAUGAUAGAACAAAAAACAGACCUGCCGGACAUCUGAAUUUUCAUCGUUUGCUGCCUCCAAAAGGAAAGGAAGGUAUGUAUCAUAAUACCUCAAAGCUGAUUCACGGCAUUGCUCCGCAACAUCAUCAAAGAUACAGAUAGCUAUCCUUCUCUCCUCGGGUGUUUUAUCUUUUCCCUGCGAAUCAAAACAUAGGGUACCAAAAUAAGUAGGAAUAAAACAUCAAACUGAAAAAAAAGGUUGGAGCAUAACACUGCACAACAGGAAUAAGCAUGAAAAAACAUGCCAAUAACUAAUGAGAAGAAACCCAUUCGAUUCAUGUACAUAAACUAGCAUGCAGUAACUGAAUGCUCAAUAAAUAACAAUAGAGAGCUCACACAAAUAAACAAUCAGGUCAGGGUUCAGUUAGCUUACCAACAUUGGCGUAAUGUACACAGAGAGCUCAUCAAAGAACGGCAAGAAAGAAGCUUUGAAGGUUUUAAUCAAAGUACCAAGGCACUCGCUGACCUGAAAGUUUAAAUAUGUUAAAAGAAAAUUAAUAGGUAAAUCAUUUAACAUAACAUGCCAAAGACAGUUUUCUCAGUAUGACAAAACAGAUAAAACUUCAAAUCAUUUCAAAACAAACAAACCUGAUCAAAUACUUCCUCCUCCUGUUCAUUCUCUUCUUUGAGUAGCUCUCCUUCAUCAGCAUCAAAAUCUUCCGCUUUUGUUCUUUCUGUACGUUCCCUUUUCCUGGUUGCGCUGGCUAUAAUGACAUUUUUAAUCUCAUCCGAAAUAGCUCGUACUUGGGUUUCAUCGAGCAAACGACCAGAAAGCUGCUCAUGAGUAAGAUCAAUGGAAAAUUGAGUCAUAAAUAAACCAUUCAAGAAAAUAGAAUAUUUAAAAACCCAUGCGAAGAGAAACCAACAGAACUAUAACACAUAUUCUUUCACCCACUGAACAUAGUGAAAUGAUCCCUUUCUUGUCUUUUUGUGGUUAUAAAGUGAUAAUCACGGGCAAGCACAUGUUCACAUAUGCAGAUGCACAGAUUUCAGAAUUGUAAAAGGAGCAAAUCUGCGAGCACAACUUUCAGAUAAAAUCUGCGUGCACUUUAUAAGUUUCAUUCUAACUAGACAACUUUCAGAUAAAAUAUGCUAAGAUAUACUUAUUUGAUAACAUAGGGGUAGGUUAGGAAAAAAAGGUGAGGUCCUAAAUAUACAAGUGAAGCUUUAGGAAGAAUCUCAAUCAUGGAUUCAAAUUAUGAAGCAUAGAUGGUGUAAAUGCACAAACCUGCAUGCACUCAUUUAAUGAGUCCAGCAUGGAUGAGCACAUUUCUGUUUCUGGCUCCUGCACAAAGGACGCAAAAAGUUCAGGUGUCAGCAUGGGUAAAAGAAAUAAUAAUUCAACUACUGAGAUAUCUUUAAAUAGACCUUGUGAAGUGCUUCAACAAGAGCUGGAAUUACGUAGUCAGACAACUGUUUAACAUAAGACUCGUCACGGCCUUGAGCCUGUCCUUUCUCAACAGCCAACUUUGCCGAACGUAAGAGUUCCGGCAUUGCUGCACAGAUGUUCAGAAUUGUAAAAGGAACAAAUCUGCAAGCACAAAUAAAUCAUAGUGUAACAUGAAAAUACCCGCAACAGCAGCUCUUCUGACUUCUUCAUGGAAGUAAAACUUCAGCAGAGGGACCAACGUGGGGGCAACCUACACGUAAAUUUGUAUCCAAUGAUAUAUGCUGGAAAGGGGCAGCUGAAACUUGAAAGAAUUAGAUAUUGGAUAUGUUUAGUGCAAUAAUGAACCUGAUCAAUCCAUGGGAAGAAACCCUCCUUAAGCUCAUCAGCAUAACAGCACAGCAUGUUGCAAGCUGUUGCUUUCUCUUCCAGCACACUAGUUCGGAUUCCUAUUCUCUUGUCACCAAGUGUGAUUGUUUCAAUGCUGUAUAAAACACAAAUUAAGGGUAAGGGUAAGUGUAAAAAAAAUCAUACAAAGUUAAAAGUAGGAUGCUCUCCUUGUGUCAGCAGAAAGGUGAAUGAAUAGCAAAAGCUUGGCAUCAUCAAUGAAAAAAACCAAAACACAUGAAAAAACUCCAUAAAUGACAGUGUAAAUGUUCUACCGACUAUAGGCACAGUAAAUCUAAAAGCUUGUGUACGGUUCAUAUCAUUUCAUACUGCAAAUAAGUUUAAAAUUAGAAUGCUAAACUGAUGAUUUUGCAGCUUAAAACGAAUUUCUUCUAAAUUUUCUCCUUUGUACAUUCUCCUGGAUACUUCAGAUACGGGCAUAUAAAAAGUCAUUUAAACAAAAAAUUGUACAUUCUCCAGGAUACUUCAGAUACGGGCAUAUAAAAAGUCAUUUAAACAAAAAGACAAGCAUCAACCAUGGAAUUAAAAAGAUUCCAUAUUUGCAACUGUACAAGAGCGAGAAAGGUAUAGAUAUUUCUAAGUGGAAAUAGUCCAACAUAGUUGUCAGGUUUGCUAACCUAAAUCUCUAAUAAAGUAGAUAAAACAUUGCAACAGAAUGAUAACAGACCUAUCGUCAUCUGAUUCUAUUUCGUCAUCUGAUUCGGCUGAAGUAAUUGUCACAUCGGGCUUCAGCUGAGCAGACUGAAGCAAUGGUGGCAUAACAACACUCAUGUAAGGAAGGAAAUCCUGCCCAAGACAUUUGCAUAGCCUGGCCCAAGCCUAUCACAUGUGGUGGUAAGUGUUAGAUAUAUAUUUGAAGUGUUGUUAAGCCUAGUUUCAGAUGCUUUGAAACAUACCUGCAACAUGUAGCUGGUAAUUGGAUCAUCAGUUUCCAUUGGUGUUCCUUGCAAAGCCAUAAGUACUUCCAUAACCUAGUAAAGGGCAGAUGAUUAGAAUAAUAACACUUCCUCAAUUAAAUAAAAUAUUACAGCUGAUUGCACAUUUAGACUUAAAAGUGCAAGAAGAAGAAAUGACAGCCAUAAAUAAUGAUUUUAAUAAACAGAAAUAGACAUAAUUUUUCUGAAUUCCGAUAAAUUAGCAGGAAAAGCUUGAACAGUGAAACGGUUCAAGAAUACGAACAGUGGUUACAGAUCAAUCACAAAUUAUUUGCAACAAAAUAGAAGUACAUAAUUUGCAAGCUGGAACAUAACAUUACAAGUGAAAGAAAAGGCUAACCUGCCUCGCGUCGUCUCUGAACUUGUCCUUACCCACAGCCAUUCCUACCAAACUAAUACACUCCAUGGACUUGGCACGGAGCAUCCUAUUAGACUUGUCAGUUGCAUUCAUCAAAAUAGCUUUUAGGUAUGGCAUGACAGCAUCAUAGUAUUUCUUGAAGUGCUCCUGCAAGGCAAACAAACAAAAAGUUAUCAUAAUGCUAUCAGCUUGUUAUCAACAGCAGGCAAGACAGCACUAAAACAAUUUGUUAUAAUUGGUCAGCUAUAAAAAAGUUAGUCAAAUGCUAUAAAUUUGUUAAUAGGUGCUUCUGCCACUCAGGAGCAGACAAAUAAAAAGUUUAGUCAAAUGCUAUAAAAUUGUUAUCAUUACCAAGCUAUACAGCACUAAAACAAUGAGACAACCCCAUGAUACAUGUGAUACAUGACGACAGAAAUCCAUUAUGCACAUAACAAAAAAAAA